rnacentral:lncRNA from 1 species
CUAUGAUUUGCAUGAAACUUAUGCCAAGAAUUUACUUAACGUGAUUGUGACUAGCAACCUUCACUACUUAUGAAUAUAAGUUCAUAACGAUUAGGUGAAACUCCCUUAUAUUCUAGCGUCAAAUUCAUGCAUGAAAAUUAAGCGUGCACUCUCAACCAACAUACACAAAUCAGUUUUUAUACGAACGGAUAAGUAAAUUGAAUUCACAACUUAUAAAUCACAACUGAAGGUAAUCAAUUCAUAUUACAAAUAUAUUCAUGGCUUUGAAUUAACCUCUAGCCAAAAUAAGUUUAUUUACACAUUAUUAAAACAGAAAUAAAAUAGAAGUUUGGAAAGAUUUAACCGAAAGAGAGUGAAUUGGCGCUCCACAGGUUCUGCUCUCUAAUUCUCGCACUGCACAAUUCUUUUCUUGGUUCUCCGUGCUGAUGCCUUUGCUGCCAAGAGGCAGAUUUUUGCUCUCUGUCCUCGAGGCUAAUGCCUCCUCUCGGUUUCUUUUCUCCUGCACAACAGCAAGUGCUGCUUCUCUCUGACCUCGCUGCCAAAGGGCAGCCCCCGGUUUCUGCUGCUUGCCCUCUGCCCAGCUGCAAAGGCAUCUUGGUUUCUCCCCUUAAUCUCACGCUGCUCCUUCCUUUAUUUUUUUUAUAUUUUUUUUCUUUCUUGUUUCUGACCUCUCUCUUCUGUCCGUGCUAUCUGCUGCCGCAAGGCAGCUGUCUGCCUUUUGGUUCUUCCUGACACCCCCCUUUUUCUUAUUCUUUCCCCCCUUUUUUUCAAAGCUCUCCCACUCUUUUAUUCUUUUAUUUCUGACCUACUCCCCACUACCGUCCCAUUUUCAAAGCUCUCCCACUCAUUCCAUGCCAUCCACUUCCUUUGUUUUCUGUUAUUCCCUUUGCUCACGCUGUCUCUCCACUCCUCUUCUUUUCUUCUUUUAAUCCGUCAGUGCUCCACCUCUCAUUUCUUUAUUCAAUUUCUGUUUUUCCUUAGUGUAUUCCUUUCCCCAUCCACUUCUAUUUUUCAAGCUUGCCGCCUCCACCAACUCCCUCUAUUAUUUUUCUGUUUUCUUUUUGGCAGCCUUGCUGCCUUCCACUUCACGCUUUGCCCCAACAUAUUUCCACAUGUGUUGUCCAUGCAAGCUUUCCAUCUUUUUGUCACUGCCAAGGCUCACGUUUUCCUCCUAGCUGCAAAGGCAGCUCCUCACUUUUUGUUUAGUCUGUGACAUUACACAAAUUAAUUAAUCCAUUAAAGAAACAAAUAUGUGAUUUUCAUUGAUGGGAAGCAGACAAUUAAUAAUUUAAAAAGACGAAUUUAGCCAAGAUUCAAGUAAUUAAGAACUAGAUAAUAAUUAAAAACUCAUUUGUGCCAUUUUUAUUUUCUUUGCAUAACAAAUCCUAUAAACACAAAAAUAACGUAAAUAGCUCAAAAAUAUAAGGAACUAACCAAGAAAAGACGAGUGAAUUUAAAGUAAAAAUAUAUAUAAAUAUGAUCCGAUCAAACACAAAUCAAAUGAUGGACUUAUGUCCAUUUACAACAAAUUGAAUUAAUCAAAUUACAUUCAAAUCUAUACUACUAAAACCCAAACAUUCAUAAUGUAAAGCGGCCAAUCACAUAGCUCAAUUAUCGAGGCCUUUGGUUCAUAAUCACCAUUUUCUCAAUUAAUCACAUUAACUAAGAAAGCAACUUAAACAAUUGGUUUUUGGAUCCAUAGAAUUGAUUUAAAUGGAACUAAAUGAAAUGAAAAUCCAAUUCUCAUUAAAGAGACAAAACAAUUUUGUUCUCAUUUUAUUUGGGCCAAAAGGAAACUAUGACCACAACAAUUGGGCCAUAAUGCAAAUACAAAAACUUUUGGGGUCACUUUGUAAAACACAAUAGUCCACAACUUCAUGUAAUUACAACUAGAUCCCAAAAUUUUAUUAAUGUAAAAACAUCAUUAAAGGAUCCAAACAAUUCGUCCUUUAGCGUUUUAGGGCCUUAACGUAAAAACGUAAACUUUUGGGCCAAAGUGCAAAUACACAAAAGUAUCAAAACUUUAUGUAAUUGCAUAAAAGACCCCAAAAAUACCCCCACUACGGGGUGGCCGGUUUUUAGAGAGGUAAAGUAGUGUGAAAGGGUUUUAUGCAAGUUGUGCAUGCAUGUGCAAAAUGCAAGUGGAUUUUGGUGGGUGAGUUAUUGGUGAAAUUGAUGGUUUGUAAGAAAAAUUAAAGUUUAUGACAAAACAUUAAAACCAUUUCAUCACAUCUCACCAAUAACCAUCAACCAUCAAAACAUAAACCAAAACUUUAUGAAAAACAAAAAACUUUAGAAUCAAAACUUCAAACCCUUUUGUUCUUGGCAAGAACUUCAAGAACAUUGAAGAACACCAUGAAAACUCACAAUAGCUCCAUGAAUGUUUUCAAUCACCAAAACUCAAUUUUUCACCUCUCAAAAGAGGGCUAAUAUCCUAGGGUACUUAGGGGUUCCAAAAGUCACCUUAAAACCAUUUUAACAAGACAAACAUGAACCCAAAAAGUCACCCUAAGGAUUUGGCCGAAUUUCCCAAAACACAUGGCACCAAAUUUUAGUUCCAAUAUUCAUGCUUAAAUGAAAUACAUCUACAACAUUUGAGAUGCUAAAUUUUCUAGCAAAAUUUAUAUAUUCAAAAGCAAGAACAAAGCUUGUAACAUUUACAACAUUUAAAUCACAUAUUAUGAAAAUCACAAAACCCAAAAGGAUUCACCAUAAACUAGGCCUAGGCUCUGAUACCACUUGAAGGAAAAAAUUUGUCCUAGCUAAGAACAAGUAUGAACAUUUGAAUACACAUGCAAGCUAUUAACACUUUAAAGUAGGCAUGCAUCCAAAAACAAUUCAUAAAACCCAUGACUUUCAAAGCCUAGUAUAUGGUGAACCAAUAAACUCUUUAACAACAUUAAAGAUAAGUAAAGAUUUAGAGUUUCUUUACCCUUGAAGCUCAUCCUUGUUUACACAAGGGAUUCACCCAAGUGGAGGGCCUUCAAGUCACCUCCAAGCUCCUUGAAUCCUCCUUGUGUUUUCCUCCCUUUAGUGCUCCUUUGAAGAUUUGAGGAAAUGAGGAUAAGUUCUCCAAAACACCAAAAGUUUGAUGUCUCUAAGUCUCUUCACCAAGGAUGUAUCUUGUGAAGAUGAUAUGGAUGACUUAGGGAAGAAGAGAUUGCUAGAUGUCCCUUCCCUUAGUGGCCGGCCUCUUGGAAGAAAAUGGAGAGAAAAUGUUUCACCCAAUUUCAACUAGAAAACCCUAAAAAAAAAAUAGCUAUAAAGUUGCUUUUAUAACCUUUUCUUUGGUGAGUUUGCAAUUAAGCAAGCUUUCACCAUCCACCCUAAUGGCCGGCCAUCAUAUUGUUGUUGGGCUUGUUGCUCAUUUUGUUUUAGUUGUCAUACAACUUAAACAUAAUGGGCCUUUUGGACCAAAACACUUUUGGGCCCCGAAACCCAAAACCAACAUAUAAGCCCAAUACGAACCUUUCGUAAAAUUAAUUAACUAAUUAAUUAAUCUUGACCAUUCUUCAAUUAAACCAUUUAAUUGCUUAUCCAUUUCAUUUAAUUUCUUCACAUACAUCCUUACUCGGUGUACGAUCCAUUAGGUUCCAUUUAGCGAGGCAGUGGGCGAUGUUACUCUUAACGAUCGAUUGUGAAUUGAAACCACAUUUCAAUUCUCCCUUUGAUGAUUAGUGUUUGCUAAUCAUUAGGGCUUCCACAAACCAUGAGUGACGCCUAGCAGAAUAUCAUGGUUACCCAAGCUAAGUAGAAUUGGUUGGAGAACCUAUCCAGUUACAACUACAAUGCAAUACGGUCCUUCUCUAAUACAAUACUCUUAAUCACAUUGUUUAAGUGAUAGUUUGUUUCAUGUCUACUAUCCAAUGUGAUACUUUCCUAUAUGAUUCCCUUGAAUAUGAUUUGGAACAAACUUCCUAAGUCAUAUUCAUUUGCUUUGGCCAAAGACUUUAGAAUCAUAUCUUAGAGUAUUCUCCUUCCACCUUGGAAGGUUAGAGAUCCCUUGUUGUGCAUUCAUAUGCCUACAUGACUAGAUAGCUUGACCCCAACAAUGCCGUGGACAUUCCGAUGGAAUGCCGUUUGACAUGAUCAAAGAUCAAGGACCUAACCAUUAGACAUCUAUGAUGCCUCAGGUCAAAGGACUACUUUGCAUAUUGCAACUUUAGAGUUCAUACAUGACAUGUAUGUUCGAACUCUCUUUUGAUCGUAGUUCAGUGCACUCAAUUACUCUUUCGAGCACCUAUGCGUUUGUCUUAGUGUCCAACACCAAAUGACUUGAGACUAGUCAUACUCAUGCUUGAGUCAACACAACACAUACUAACCUUAGCGGAUUGUCAAUGGCCAAUUGGCAAUCCUAUGGCUAGGAACGUUUUAGGAAUGAACAUAAGAGAAAGGUCUCGAUAAUCUAACUCACUUAGAUCACUUAUCUCUUGGAACAAAUACAUUCCUUGGAUUCUCUUAUUGCUUAAACACAUGAUACAAUAAAUAGUGAUUUACAAUAAGAUUUGCCCUCCAUUAAACAUAUAAAAGUUUAAUACAUUAAGUAUUCCAAAAAGCUAUUACAUCAAAUGAGUGGCUUUGUGGGCAUACUUCCAACAACACUAUGGUCGUUGGCUCCACCUCUAUGCUUGGCUUGUCUAAAUAUUCCACUGGAAUAGAGAGUUUGAAUUGGUGGUCAAGGGCGGAGCUUAAGCUGGCUUACGCAUCUGCGUGGGCGUUGUCUGCCCGUGGGACAUGAGUGAUAGUGUAAGUCUGAAAUGCCUCAAGCUGCUUGCGUACCUUCUCUUGGUAUUGCGCCAUCCUCAGAUGUUUUGCCGUGUAUCCCUCAGUAGUCUAGCUGGUGAUUAAUUGGGAAUCGGAAUGAAUUGCAAGCUUCUUCACUGCUAAGUCUUUUUCCAUUUGGAGGCCUGCCAGUAGAGCCUUGUAUUCUGUAUCGUUAUUGGAUGUUUUGAAACCUAGAGUGAUCGCCUGCUCGACAAUUGAAUCGUCUGGAGUGACAAGGACCACACCUGCUCCUGAGCCUUUAUAGUUGAAUGCUCCGUCGACAUGCAAAUGCCAGAAGUCUCCAUUCGAUGGAACAUGCACGGCUAAGGUGUGCUCGGCCACUUCUGGGGCGUCGUUCGGCCGCUCUGUUGCGUCGCCUAGGCUAGGCGUGAAUUCUGCUAUGAAGUCUGCCAAGGCUUGGGCCUUUAUUGCCGUGUGGGAUUGGAAAACUAAACCGUAUUGGCUGAGUUCCAACGCCCACUUCAUCACUCAUUGAGAAGCGAUCGGACCAUGUAAGAUUGAUUGUAGAGGAUACUGAGUCAUGACAAUGAUUGUAUGAGUUUGAAAGUAUGGUCUGAGUUUUUGAGCCGCAACAACUAGCGCCAAAAUUAAUUUUUUGAUCUUUGGAUAUCCUGUUUCCGCAUCAAGAAGAGCUUUAGAAGUGUAGAAUACUGGCAGUUAGGCCCCCAACUCUUCUCGUAUGAGGGCAGAGCUCACUGCUAUUUCGGAGACUGCCAGGUAGAUGUAUAAAUCCUCUGCUGCUUCCGGCUUGGAUAGUAAAUGAGGUGAUGUGAGAUACUUAUUCAGGUCUUGGAAGGCUCUUUCGCACUCUUCAUCCCAUUUAUCUCGUUAUGCCCUUUUGAUAGCUUUGAAAAAAGGCUUGCAUCAAUCGGUGGACCGUACGAGGAAGCGAUUGAAGGCUACCGCUCGUCCGGUCAAGCUUUGGAUCUCCUUCAAGGUGGUUGGAGACUUCAUCUCUAGGAUCACUCGGAUUUGCUUAGGAUGUGCUUCUAUUCCUCGUUGGGUUACUAAGUACCCUAGGAAUCGGCCUGAAGAUACCCCAAAUGUGCAUUUGGUGAGAUUGAGCUUCAUCUUGUACUUUCUGAGGAUGUUGAAAGUUUUUGCCAAGUUGCGAAUAUGAUCUAACCGCUGCUUUCCCUUUACCAUUAUGUUGUCGACAUAGACCUCCAUGGUUACCCCAAUUUGCUUCUUGAACAUCAUGUUUACUAACCUUUGGUAAGUGGCUCCCGCAUUCUUGAGGCCAAAGGGCAUAACUUUGUAGCAGUAGGUACCUCGCUUGAUUACAAACGCGGUUUUCUCCUUAUCGGGUUCAUACAUGGCUAUUUGGUUAUAGCCUGAGUAUGCGUCCAAGAAACUGAGCAACUGGUUUUCAGAAGUUGAAUCUACUAAUAAAUCAAUCUAAGGGACAGGAUAAGGAUCUUUUGGGCAUGCCUUAUUGAGGUCGGUGUAAUCUACGCAAACCCUUCAUUUGCCCUUCUUUUUUUUCAUGACUAGCACGACAUUAGCAAGCCUUGCUGAAUGUGCUACCUCUUCUAUGAAUCCAACCUCCAAUAGCUUGUCAAUUUCCACCUCCAUGAUCACCACUCGUUCGGGUGCGAAAUGUCUCAUUUUCUAGAUCAUCAGCUUGGCAACGGGAUCGAUGUGCAGCUUGUGGUAGGCUACCUUAGGAUUGAUACCAGGCAUGUCGGACGGUGACCAUGUAAAAACAUCUCAGUUUUCCCUAAGGAAAGCCGUGAGUUAUUCCUUCUCGGCUGGGUUUAGACGUGAACUGAUUCUAGCCAUCCAUUCCAGCUAUUGGGGAUCAAGAAUGAUGUCAUCGACGUCCUCUUUGGAUUUCUAUCCUAUCUAGUAUGUUUGGGUGCCAUAUUCUCGAUCCACCUGCUGUAAUUGCUAUUUGGUAGCUUCUUCAUCCCUUUAGAUCUCAGUAGCCUGUACAGAAGUAAAAGACUUAUUCUUUGAUUCCUUCAAUACUUGCACAGUGCAUCGUCAGGAUGCGGCCUGGUCAGACUUGAUCUCUCUGACUCCUUCUCAUGCGAUGCAGAAUCAAAUUUUUUGGUACUUGACGGAAGUGACGACAUCAAGCUUGAUCAACCAAGGUCUCCCAAGAAUCCCAUUAUAAGAAGAUGGGUUCCUUACGAUCGUAAACGUCUGCUUUUAGACAAUUGAAGAUAUUUUCACGUCAAGUGUGAUAUGGCCAAUGGCAGUUAAGGUAUGCCCGUUAAAUCCGAUUAGUACCUCUGCUUAGCGUAUGAUUAUGCUUUCCAGGCCCAUCUUCUGAAUGACUGAAAGUUGAAGUAGGUUGACUGCACUUCCAUUGUCGACCAUCAUUCUGUCGACUAUAGCAUGGGCUAGUUGGACAGAUACCACUAGUGCGUCAUCAUGGGGAAAGUCAACACUUUCUACAUCCUGUUUGGUGAAGCCAAUGAUAGGUCUAGGUUGGAUGUUGGUUGCUUAGACUUAUGAGACUAGUAGAGCAUGUUGAAUCUUCCUUUUUUUUUUAAUUGCUGAUGGCCCCCAAGUGCUCGGAUUCGGCAAAGAUGCCAUUAAUUCGAAUCAUCUUGGUUGGCGGCUCCUCAUCAUUGUCUGCAUUCCUUUUAGGUUGUGCAGCUGGCUUGUCUAAGUAUAUGUCAACCUUGCCUUCUUUCACGAGCUUUUCUAGGUAGUUCUUCCAAGUGUAGCAGUCAUCAGUUGUGUGACCGGGACCUCGGUGGAAUGCACAAUACUUGGUCUGAUACAACUUGGAAGUAUCCCCCUUUGAUUGUUUCGGCAGUUUAAACCAUGGCUCGUUCUUAAUGUCGCGAAGGAUUUGGUGGAUCGGAAUUGAGAACUUAGAAUAGUUUUUAGUCAUCAGGCUUUCAUUGUUCGUGGGUCGGUCCAUAUGCUUGGCCUCCUACCUACUUUUGUUGGAAUGUUUCCUGUCCUCCUUCCUUUGAGCCACUACCGACUUUUUUCAAGGCUGCUCGGGUGCCUUAUUUGCUUACCGAUCCUCGUCCCAAAGUGCAUGCUUCUCUGCUAUAGCAAAUGAGUCUGCUAGAGUUAGAUCUUCUUUCAUGAUCAUUUUUCCGAACAAUGGGUGGUCUGCUGGGAGUCCUUUUUGGAAAGCUGCACUUGCUAUUGAGUCGUCGCAUCCGACGAUCUUCGCCUUCUCCACUUUGAACCUCUUCACGUAGUCCCGGAGCGACUCCUUUGGGUUCUUCUUCACAUUAAACAAGUGGUCAGACUUUUUCUUGAUCGAGCGGUAGGAUAAGUAUUCCUUGGUGAAAACCAAGGAAAGAUCAUCAAAACUUUGGAUGGAUCGUGAUGGCAAGGUGUGAAACCAAUAUUGCACCUCGCCUUGAGAUUUUGCACAUAAGGGCAUCAUUGCUUCGAUAAAGCAUCAUCGUGCUUCGCUAGUGUUUCAAGUGCCUCUCCGAAUCUCGAUCUCCUUUGAAAGAUGUAAAAUAUGGCAUGCUAAAUUUACGUGGAGGCUCUGCCUGCUCAAUCUCGUCCGUGAAGGGUGAUGUACUUAUAUUGGUCAUAUCUCGCGGUAAUGCCUCGUUGGCCACUUCGUUACAUUGAAAAUCAUGCAAUUGUUCGUUGAAUAGUCUAUCUACCUCUUCUUAGAUUUAUCUUUGAUGAGGUAACGGAGCUCUUAGUUACCCCUAAUCUUAACCUACUGGUCUAGGUUGCUCUUCCAUGCUUUUGGCUUGUUCAUGCCGCGACAGCGGUGCAUGUGGUCCAUCCAUGGCAGGCAAGGGAAUUUUAUGCAAGCUACCUAUUGAACUUGAUUCGAAUUAAGUGACUGCUUCUCUCCAUCCGUCGUGUUGUCUGCUCUGAUGUGAUGUGGAUAAUGCUCCUUGCGGGCCUAGCCGCGAAUGAACGCUUUGCCUAAAAGGCUGCUCAUGUUGAUUAUUGGAACGUGGCCUCAACCAUGAAUGAAUACUUACCCGUGGGCCUAGUCAAGAGUGUACACUCCUCCGCGUGCUAAGACGAGAGUAUACGCUAUCUCGGGGGCCCAAUCGGGAAUGUAUGCUACCUGAAUGCUUAUUUCGUGGUUGGUCGAGUGGUUGCUUGCCAGAGCGUUGCUGGAAAGGCUCUUCAUCUACCCUUGUCCUAGUGUGGGACACCUCGUUUGGGGCACGUUGGAUUUCAGUACAUUGUAGGAGUUGAUUCACCAAGGUCGUUUGUUGUGUAAGGGCGCUCAUUAACUCUAUGACUUGACGGGACAAGUGUUGCUUACCAUUUGGAUUGAAAGUGCUUGGAAAGAAUGUGCCUCCUUGAGCAAUGGAAGGAUGGUAAACUCCAGGCACGAGAUUUGAGUUGGGAAAUGUCAAAUCCGUGGAGAAAUAUGGUGAAAAUGCCCCCUGCUCGAUGGUAGGUUUGGAUGGUUAAGAUAGUCUUGGGUCAACAUGGGCUGCUUGGGAUGCCAUGGGAGCAGGAUAGGUCAUGGGAGCGGACUUGGUCGUGAGAGCAGGCUUAGCCACCGGAGCAGGUUGCUCGGUGUAUGAUGGAUGCGAGUGUUAGGCUUGGGUUGUGGCUUUGGGGCCAUGGGCUUUGGAUGUCACGGCUUGGGCUUGGGCCCUUGCAAGCUUGGAUGGCACGGCUCGUGCCGUGGUAGCAAUACCAUGGACCUUGCCGCCAGUAGUGGUGAGUAGUGGUGGCCGUGGUGGAAUCCCGUAGCAAUGGUGCCGCUCCAAUGAUCACAUUUAGCCUCGUGGAUCGCCGUUGACCCAUUUCUUAAAUAUUAUAAUUUUCACUUGUGGAAUUUUCUCAAUUUCUAGCCAUUGUAUUUCUCAAUUUCAACAAAUGGACAAGAAAAUAGAAAAACCUUUAGAUGCGGGAGUCUUUUAUGAAUGUGUGUGACUCUUCUCUCAAUGGAAGCACCAAUUUGUGGAUGCAAAUUUCUGUCUCCUUCUUCUUGGACAAAAUUGCACCUACAAAACAAUUAACACCUUAAGUUAUAGGCCAAAAGCCUCACGCGCCCACGAUGAAUGGGGGGCUUUGGCCGAUGAACCUCUGAUGCCAAAGUUAGAAUUUAGAGGGAAAAAUGUUUAGAGAGUUUUUGGAGUUUUGCAAGAGUGUGGACUUAGGUUUUUAUAGAAAAUAGGGUAGUUUAUAUAGGGCAUGGCCGGUCCCCUUUGGAGAAAAGGUGGCCGGCCCUUUGGAAUGUCUUUGAGUGUAUUUUGUGGUUAAUGGGUGAUUUAAUUGGCAAUUAAUGGAUUAAUUUGGUAAUAAAUCCAUUAAUUAGCCAAUUAACAUGUUUUUAGAAGGCAUGUUUUCGAGGUUAUGGGAUAAAUAAAAUAAAUAGCUAAUUGAUUAGCUAAAAAUUGGAAAAUGAGGUAAAGAAUAUCUGGAAUGAAAUAGGUUUUGGGAGUUUAUAGAAGGGAUUUGAUGAGAUAGGUUUUGAAUUGUUACCUAUUUUGGGCACUUUUGACUUGGUUGAAAGAUGAUUGCCCACUGCUCGUGCGUAGGAAUCCUGUUAUGCCUCAAGGGUAUUUCUGUCCUCUUAUGUCCAAAAAUUCACGUGUCGCCUCCUGAUUAUUUUUGGCUCCACACGAACCAAGAGAGAAAAUGAGCAACAAAACAUCAAAGAAUGCAGAACCCAGAGAGAAUAAAGAACUAUCUUGUCUGGAGCAAUUAGUCAAAACCGUUAACCACCACCAAAAACCCAGAAAAGAUUCAUUCUAAUUGUUCAAGAAUUUGGAGAAAAAUGACUGAAAACAUAACCUUCACAUGAAACUUUUAAGUUGGGUAUUUCGACAAACACCUAGACUGCACCUAUAUCUGAUCUUUCUUCCAUAUCAAAGAAUAGAGUAGAGAUCAAAGAAUUCACUGACCCAUUCCUUUAAACAGUUGGAGUGCACAGAAUCAUAACCUGAAUAGCUCUCGAGAUUUGCAAUCUUGAACAAACAAACACCAACAAAGAAUUCAGAAAGUGAUUUGAGCAGACCACAGAGAAGAAAGAACCAUAUCGAAGACGCCUAUGAAUCCCUGCACUGACUACCCAGCACUAAGAAAAGGCACAGAUGAAUACGAAAUACCACGAAGAAAUCAAACACCCCCAAAUCCUACAAUUUUUUCGUAAUCAAUGGCCUGAAAACCCACCAAGUCCUUAGAAGCCACAGAGUACUUCUGGUUCCGGAAAUCUUUGAUGAUGUGUUCGUAAUCGGCAAGCCAAAACAUGUUCUUAACCUUCAGAAUUUGAGUCUCUAAUAACAGCGACAGGCCAAACAGGGGAGGGCCGCUGAGACCCAAUUCCAGCGCAAAGUCUAAUCCUAACAAAGAAAGAUCGAAUCUUUCACAAGCAACAUAAGAGAAUGCUUGAAUGGAAUAAUUGUGUCUUGAAUUGAUACGAGAAUGAGAAAAUAUAUACAGUUGAUAUGCACAAUCAACUCCUUAUAAAUUGGAGUUGACUUCCUAACUAGGCAAAUACAUGAAAAACUAAGAAUACAAAUAAUUAGGGAUUUGUUCCCAUUGAGAUCUGAUUGAUUUGUCAACACUCCCCCUCAAGUUGGUGCAUAUAUGUCACUUAUGCCCAACUUGUCUAAGAAACAUGAAAACUUAUGACUUGAAACAGCUUUCGUGAGAAUAUCUGUCAACUGAUCCUUCGUUCUGUUUGAUGGUACUUCAAUUAGUUUUCCUUCCAAUUUUUCCUUGAUAAAGAAUUUGUCAACUUCAACAUGCUUCGUUCGAUCAUGUUGUACCGGAUUAUGUGCAAUGUCACGGACGACUUUAUUGUCACAAAAUAAUUUCAUAGGCUGAUCAAUUUUUAUACCCAAAUCCUGCAAUAGAAGUUUAAGCCACAAAAUUUCACAAAUCCCAAGGGCCAUUCCUUUGUAUUCGGCUUCUGCACUGGAAAGGGCAACCACAUUUUGUUUCUUACUCCUCCAUGUAACCAAGUUACCCCUAACAAAUGUAAAGUAACCUAAUGUUGAGCACCUAUCAUCAACUAAACCUGCCCAAUCUGCAUCAGUAUAACCUUCAACUCCAAGAUGGUUAUUUCUUUUAAACAAAAUCCCUUUUCCCAGACUUCCCUUCAAAUAUCGUAAAAUCCUCAUCACUGCAUUCAUAUGUUGUUCUCCAGGAUCAUGCAUGUAUUGACUCACUACACUCAAGGCAUAGGCAAGGUCUGGUCUUGUGUGUGCUAAGUACAUUAACCGACCUACUAACCUUUGGUAUCUCCCUUUGCCAACUGGUACUUGAUUAGGAUUAACACAAAGCUUUAAUCAUUCUUCUAAUGGUGUAGAUACUGGCUAACAAGCAGACAUGCCAGUUUCAUGUAACAAAUCAAUAAUGUACUUUCUCUGAGAUAAGAAAAUUCCCGAAUUGCUUCUCAAUACCUCAAUCCCUAGAAAAUAUUUCAGGGAUCCAAGGUCUUUCAUCUCAAAUUCAGCAGACAAGUAUUUUUGUAAGGCCGCACGUUCUUCUGGAUCAUUUCCUGUUACCACCAUAUCAUCUACAUACACAAUAAGUGCGGUAAGCUUCCCAUUUUGUUUUCUCAAGAACAAAGUAUGAUCAGAAUUACUUUAUUUGUAAGCAAAUGCUCUCAUUGCUUUUGUGAAUCUUCCAAACCAUGCUCGAGGGGAUUGCUUCAAACCAUACAAGGAUUUCUUCAACCUGCACACUUUUCCUUUGUAUUUAUCUGGGGUAUUACAUCCUGGUGGAAGAUUCAUAUAAAUCUCUUCUGUCAAAUCUCUAUGCAAGAAGGCAUUCUUCACAUCGAAUUGCUGUAAAGGCCAAUUGAGAUUUGCAGCCAAGGACAACAAAACACGAACUGUGUUAAUCUUGACCACAAGUGCAAAUGUAUCUGUGUAGUUGGUUCCAUAUUUUUUAGUGUAUCCUUUUGCUACUAGUCUUGCUUUGAAGCGGUCCACUGUCCCAUCAACUUUGUACUUCACAUUAUAAACUCAUUUGCAUCCCACAGGUUUCUUACCAGUUGGCAAGUCUGUGAUCUCCUAGGUAGCAUUCUUCUUCAAAGACUUUACUCUUCGUUCAUUGCUGCUUGCCAAUGUGGAUCAACUAAAGCCUCAUGCACACUGUUAGGAAUAGAUAUAGUAGAUAAUUGAUACACAAAUAACUUAUUUGAAUCUGACAGGUGACUGGUAGACACAUAAUUACUUAACGAGUAUAACACAUUAGACUUAAGGUUGGGCUUAUUCACAGAAUACCUAGUUUUGCACUUAAGAUCAGCUUCAUAAGUGGGUUUAGGAAUACCUCGGUUAACACGGUUAGGGAGACGAGAUGGUGGCGGUGUUGGUGCAUCCGGAAUCGAAGGCAAUUGAUUAUGGUUACUAGGGCUCAAAGAUGGCGAGGGCAACUGUGAGGGCGUCGAAGAAGCUGGUGGUGCGGAAGUUGGCAGUGAGUUAUCCGGUGACAUAGGCUUGUCUUUUUCAAGGUUUUCAACAUUAUUUUCAUGUGAAUGAUCACCACUUGUCUCCAAGACAUUACCACUUAAUUCCAAGUCAUUCACAACGUUAUUUUCUUGUGAAUGGUCACCACUUGUUUCCAAAACAUCACCACUUGAAUCCAAAUCAUUCACAACAACCGUAUCCGGAAUAUAUAAUCAAGAGUUGAACUUCUGUCUGAUUCUCCCCCUGUAGUGAAGACUCGGGAUUGGCAAAGUACAUAUCGUUCUCAUGAAAUGCAACAUCCAUAGUGAUGAAUAACUUUUUCGUCGGAGGGUGAUAACAUUAGUAUCCUUUUUUAUUGAAGGCAUACCCCAUAAACACACACCGCAAGGCUCGAGGUUCAAGCUUGCUCCUCUGCUGCGUAUGAAGAUGAACGAAUGCCACACAACCGAACAUGUGAGGUGGGAGAUUGGGUACUAUAGAAGCAUCGACAUGUGAGGAGAGAGCCUGAAAUGGUGUCUGAAAAUUAACCGAUCGAGAGGGAACACGAUUAAUGAGAUAUGAUGAACAUGUGUAACUAAAUUUUCAGAGUUCUAUCUAUCUUUGUUUUAAGUUUCAACGUUUAUUUUAGAUUGUUUUUCAAUUAUGAUGAACAUGUGUAACUAAAUUUCUUUUUAGCUAGAGGUGAAUUCGAAGCCAUGAUUAUAUGUUUUAUAUAAAUUGAUUACAUCCAGUUAUUGUUUCAUAAGACAUGAAUGCGAUUUACUUUUCUGCUUUAUAGAAAACUUAUUCAUGCAUGUUUAUUAAGGAUGCAUACUUGGUUUGCACGCAGGGAUUUGAUGCUAGAAUAUAAGGGAAUUUCACCUAAUCAUUAUGAACUUAUAUUUGUAAGAAGUAAAUGUCACUUGUCAUGAUUGAGUUAAGUAAAUUCUUAGUAGGAGUAUCAUGCUUUUCAUAGUUACGAAUGCUUUGUCAAUGCUUAUGAUUUUACUACACAUUUAAACUCAAAGAGCAACGCAUCACUGUCCAAUGUAAUUCAAGCAUCUACAUGACCGUUCCCAUUUAACUGGGCAGUGUGCUUCAACCUCUCCUUUUACUUUUAAAACAGGCAUCCCAAGAAGUUUAAGUAGUUCCUUUAAACCACCUUUGGUAAAUAACCGAUAAGCAUUUCAAAUGCCCCACCAACCAAAGUUAAUCUAUUUUGUACAAAAGAAAUAUUACAUAUUCUAACAGGACUAAACUGAACAUAGAAUUUAAUAGGAUGAACAGGUGUUGAAAAAAACAAUUAAAGUAGGAGAUUCAUGAGCUUUGCUCUUCAACGUAUCAAAUUCAAAAAAUCAAACAUAAAUUCAUAAUGAAGGUCACCGAUCAAAUCACAUAAAUCAAAGAAAAUUCACAGCAAAACGAAAAAUAAAAACAGAAGCUCACUUCACAUCAGCUUUUCUGGGAGCAACAGCUGGUGAUUUCCCAUGUUCAACUAAAUCUGCACAGAAAACGUAAAGCAGAGAGAAUAAAGAAACAAAAAUUUGUUUCCAAGAUGUGAAUAAAACUAUGACGAUUCAGUGCAGCCGCAGAGUUGCACAGAUAGAAUUCAGAGUCCUGUGAUUGGUGGCAUAUUAUCUUUGAAUCUUGAUUACGGAACAUGUACCUAAAAGCUAAACAAAAAAAUCAGAAACAAACUAAAACAUGGGAUGGUGAACUUUGUACCUUGGAAAGGAUAGACACAUGUAGGCUCAACAAUGCAGAGAGCUCUUCGGGAUCGGUCCAAACUUCGUGGUCAAUGACAGAAAGAGAAGCCAAGGAGGAAAAAGAACGGUCAAAGUCAAACUCUCGCAACCGAGUAUAUGCGACGAUAAGAAAUCAUAUAUUCAUUCAUAUAUUGAAUUCUCCAAUGAACUAUUUUCUUUAACAAAUCAAAAUUGCUACCUUCGCAGAUGCCCAACGUAUUCAUGCUCAUAUUCUUCAUCUACUCAAGUUGUAUAGUGUAAUUAUCCAACAGCAAAAAGACCAAAAGAAUGAAACUUCUGCUCCUAAAAAGCCCAAACUCAUAAAAUUCCAAUUGUUAGAACCCUACCAUAAAGUUUAUGAGUCGAAGAAUCCCAGUAUUAAGUGCAGCAUGAUCAUAAGCUCUUGAAGCUUUUUCCUCCAUGUCAUACCCACCUGCCAUUCAAAUUAACAACAAUUCAAUGCCAAAUAAAAAAUGAAUAAGUGAUAAUUUAAACAAAAAUCCCAAAUUAUUGUUGUAGAGAAAAGACAUACCAAGAUAAACUGCAUUACUUGAUUGGUAUGGAAUACAACAACAGCAUAACACGUGACAUUUAAAGAAUUAAUAGCAAAAGUCCGAUUUCAGCAGCAGGGUAGAGACCAAAAAAAAUUCAGUAAAAAAGAAACAAUAAAGCUACAACUGAAAUUAAAAUAAAAGUAUGAUCAAACCAAUCUAGAAGCCAAAACUAUUCCUAGCAUUACUAAAUUAAUAAUAAAAAAAAAACUCAUAAAUUUAUAGGAAAAUAAAAAUGUAAAUCAACAUUAAUAUAAACUUAGCCACAAACCUAGAUAAACCCGUACUGAAUCAAACUGAACAGAAAACACAUAAUCCUGAAAUCAAACCUCAGAUGAAUAAAAUUGGAAAAAAUAGUAAACUCUGGUACUUAGUUAUUCUCAACAGCUUAAUACGUGUUCCAAUAUUUUAUUUUCUUUUUGUGUUGCGUAGGCUGCCUUCUUGACAACCAAUGUGACAGCCCGUCCUGAAAUAUUUUAUCGAUAGCGUGAAAUGAUUUUUAUACCCUUAAACAUUAGAUGGUAUUGUGUGACAUGCACUUUGGUUGUGGACCAAAUAUGUUAAGUUCUAAUUGUUUGGACCCAAUUAGAACUAAGUUUUCUUUGUUUUGGUUGGUAGCCCAACCUGGACCACACACACACUCCUAUACCACUCCCGUUGACCCUCUCUCUCUUUCCCUCUCGGAUUUUUCCAUUUGUCCGUACACUCGUACAGUCAUCUCCUCAACUCUCAUCAUCUCUCACGGAUCAAGGUUGUUGUUGGUGUUUUUGGAAUUCUUGCAAGUCUAGGAAUCGAACCAUAGCAUUGGUUAGGCGUGAGAACUUCAAAAACUCGAGAUAUCAAGAUGCCCCGAUUUGGUGCACUAUUCAUCUAACAUGAUCGCGGACUUUUCUUCAAGUUUUAAGGGUCUAGGGAGCCUUAUAAUUGCUUCAAGAAGCUUAGGGAAAGGUUUUGAAGGGUUUUGGACGUCGGGAAGUCCAAGUUUAUGGAGUUGCAGAGGUGGCCGGAGUAUCGAAGUUUUCCCGGCGAGAUUUAAUGGGUUUUAGGACCUAAAAUGGUAAGGAUUUGUUCCUCUCAUCCUAAGCUUCAAUUUGGUACAAAUUUCAUGAAUUUUGGUUGAGAAAUGAAGAAGAUUUGACGAUUUGAAGUUUUUCAUAGUUUCUAGCGAUGGCGACGGAAUCCGACGACUCAUCGGAGAAGAAGGUGAAUAUUCCGUCAAAGUUGACGGAAUAUUCCUAACGGCAUCAGGUAUAUUUAACGGCAUAUGCUUUUAUUUAACGGAAUAUUUCCUAACGGCGUUAACUGUUCCGUUUGGUAUGCCAAGCACGUGCAUGGCCGCACAUGUGGCCAUGCCUUGGCCAGCGCGUGAGGGAGCGUGGGUGAUCGGAAAAUUAUUUUUAAAAUAUGGGGUUGUUUGUGGGGUUGAGUAGAUCACGUUGGUAUAUUCAAACACCCCAAUUGAGCAAUGUAUGAGAAGUUAUUACCUAGUUUUGGUUAUGUGCUCUAAAAUAACUUUUAUAUAGUUGUUUCGCAUAUAGGUGAGACCUAUCCAGAGGACGAGCGCAAUCAAGCGAGACUCGGGGGCUAUGACCCUUUCACAUAUCAGUGAGUGGGCUUGUGAUUUUCAGUAUAUACUUAUAUACGUGGUAUUUUUCCCAGAAAAUGUGCUUAAAUGAAAUUAUGUUUUGAAAUGCCAUGCCUAGUGAUUUAUGCUUAGACUAUGAAUUGGUAGAGUAUGCAUAAAUGUCAUUUGACGUUGUGGACACUCAGGUAAGUACCAGAUGAGUUGUAGAUUGUUACUGUGAAUUGAUGAUUAUAUGACAUGUUGAGAGCUCAUAAACCUGCACCCUGGUGUUAGUGCUCCCGCCCGUGGUUAGGGCACAGUCUUUCAUGUGAUGUUCAUCUCGCGCACCAUACGCUCACCUUGGAUCCAAGUUAGGUGCACAGUCCUGUCGUACAGACCACUAUAGGUGGUUCCGACUCGUAGGUGACCUGCGAUUAUUCGCAGUCUUCACAUGAUCGUAGCACUAGAGAGUAUUUAUUUACACCCAGUUUUGUCGUACAGACCACUUUAGGUGGUUCUGACUCGUGUGCAGGCAUACUUGUUGAGCUAUAGAUUGAACCGUACAGGCCACUUUAGGUUGAUCCGACCGAUAUGUUAUUUCUUAUGAGUUAAUUCACCUGAGUUUCUUAUUCAGUUAUUUUGAGAUAUUUGGCAUGGCAUACUUUUGAAUAUUACUAUUCUAAGCAUGAUUUUGAGAUAUGUAUAUAUUCUAUUUUCUAGGAAAUUAUACUGGUUUUAUGGCGAUAGGUUAUUACUUUUGAUAAGUGAAAUGGUUUUGAAAAGCUUUGUUUUUGCCCACUCACACUUUCUAUUUUGCCCCCCUCCAGGUUUUAGGCAGGAGUGCUUGUUGGUGGCUUACAAUGAUUUGACGAAGGUUCUGACAGAUUAUCACCAAUGUAGUAGAAUCACCUUUGGGUGUUGUAUAAUUAGUAUUUGUCAAGUUGAACUGCACUUAGGGUACUUAUGCUCUAGUUGUGCAAUCACACUUAAUAUUGCACUUGCACCUUAUCUAGUGCUCUAGUUGGUUUGGUUUUUUUUUUUUUUUUUAUUCGCAUUCCUUAUAUUAAUAUUGCUUCCGCAAUGUGCACAUGGCUACGUCACCUUCACGUGACGGCCAGCAUGCCUCGAUCAAGGUCGAGGUGUGUCAACCAACACAACUGGAAGAAAGCUUUUGCUAUUCUGCUGAACAACUUCUACCACCCUCUAUCAAUCUAUAUAAAACAAUGUUCUCCAAUAUUUUUUGUUGUGUAAAUACCUUGACACAACAUGAAUUCCCUAAUAUUUGUUUUCUUCAUGUAAAUAGCUUAGCAUUUCACAAUCUUUUGUGUCCAAAUGCUGCUAUCAAUAAAAAACCACAUGGUAAGUUCUAACCCAAUUCAUUUAAGCAUCUAACAAAAUGGUGAUAACACACUAAAUCAAACCGGUUACUCCUUCCACCCAAUUUUUAUCAAACAUAUAGAACCAAAGACCAAUUGUUAAAACAUGUUUAAUAAGGGAUUUAUUUCUCUUGACCCUAAAAAUUAUUAAGCCUACGUGGCGCGCAGGCUGAGUAACUAAUAAGCUAACUACGUCCAUCGGUGUUUGCGGGGGUAUGCCAACUCGUCGGCCAAGCUCGACCGUGUAGUAAAAUAUGUUGAUGUUGCAUUGAGUGCGCUGCUGACUUCUGAAUCUCGCGACUACGGCCGAGGAAGGAACACGUCCCGGCCUUUGGGUUCUAGAGCCUGAAGACAAGGCUGCUAGUUCUGCGAAGUUCAAUAUCAAAUUCGGCUUUCAAUGUGCCAAAAGUAGUAACUUGUAACACCUCACUUCGCCGAAAAGGCUAAUGAGAUGACCUCUGCCAAUGGAUUCGAAAAUCCUUCUCGAUCGAAACUUGGAUAGAUAACCAGUCGGCCCUGUCGCAGUGAUGUUUAUCCAAAUUGAAGAUGUUCGCCGGUUGCCUUCACAGUGCUGUUUAUCCAAACUGAAGACGUGUUGGCGAAAAAGAAAAUAAAAAAAAUCUCAAGAUGUUUGAGAGGUUUCGCAUAGAGCGAGGACAUGCGCAUGUCAGUUUGUGUGUUGAAUUGGAGGUGGCUUGUUCGAUGUCCAUUGCCUCUGUAUUUAUAGAAGCAGAUGUGUGGUGCGGCUUCACACUGGUGUAGGAUUUGAUUUUAAUUCAAACUCAUCAGCUAGAGUCCCAGUCAAAGACUUCUCAAGGUAAGCAACAACCUAUCUUUUAGAUGUCAUCAUUAUUUCCUUAUUUUAUGCAAACAAUUAGCAUGCAUCAACCAACCUGAUGACCUCCACGGCGCUGGAACCAAAGCAUGCAAAUAAUUAGCAUGCAAGCCCAUGCCUUAGCCAUUCAUUCCAACAUGACUCGGCCAUAAAAUAGGCACCGCCAAAAAAACCUCAAAUUCCAAGGGUGCAGGCCAUUUGAUGAUCAUGACUCGUGGGUUGCCUUCCAUGUGGAGACCAUCAAAAUGUUCCUUUUUCCAUGCCGUCUUAUCCAUGCAAACCAUUUGCAAAUCAAUUGCAAAUCCUCCUCUGCCAUUAUCACAAAUUGUUGUUGACCUUGAUCACCAUUAUUGCGCUAUUUCACCUUUAUCCGAUACAGGUAUUGACUAACCCAUUGUAUUGCUGCGUGAGUCGUACCAAACAUCUCAAACCUGUUUGAACUAUACUUCUGUUGGAAAUAUGAUUCAUUUCACUAUUUAUCUUUAAACAACCCGCUAGAUAUAGCCAAUAUUAGGCUUAGAUAAUCUAAUAUAUAUUAAGAGAUAAUAUUAUGCUUAAAAUCACAAUAUUAUUCCUUAAUAACAAUUGAAAAUUAUCUCAACCACUUUAUCAUCCAAUGGUCUAGAACUUUACUCAUAUAACAGCCUUCAUUGCACAGGCCAAUAGUGUAAAUUUGGGUCCAAACAAUUUCAAAAAAUUCCUUCAAAUACAUAAUGUUAAAUGGCAAGAUAUGCAUCAAUUUAGUUAACCAACACAGACAUGUACGUGCACAUGUUGUUCAGAUAAAAACUAAAACAAAAUUAUCAAGACUCAUUUAUUUAAAAAUUGAAAAAUGAUUAUUCAAAUUCAUAUUCAUACAAAGUCUAAUGCUGAAACAAAAUUUACAACUCAAUUAACAAAAUUUGUCCAAGCACUUGCACCCCACUUUCCUCCAGAUUCAUCCCUUUUUUUUUAUCCUUUUUCUGCUGACCACUCUUCACAAUAAUUCUGCACUCUUCUUUUAUCUUUCAAUUAUUUCAAUCAAUCAAAACAUCCUAUCAUAUUUUUAGAAACACCUAAACAAAUCUGAGCAACCCAAAAUCACAAAAACGUCCAAACUAAAAUUUGGGAUCACAUAUUGUCAAGCACAAAACAACAAAUCACAAAUAAAAAACAAACUAAACAUAGGAUCAGCAGACACCAUACCUUAAAAAACCUCUUCGAGACCAAUCUCAAUUCAAUGAUCGGAGAUAAAAUCAAAAGUCAAUAAUGUUAAGUUUUUGCACGAAUAAUCGUAAAAUGACAAUAAAACCAUCGAAACCAAGCCGUUAAGAGUUUCGUUCAAAUCAACACAAAUCCGAAAUAAAAACUCACAUACAGCUGUUAUAGAAUUUGUUUGACGGUGAUUUGAAGGCAGGCCAUGCCCAGACUGGACUGAAAAGUUACCGAAAAGUUGGUCACAACUCUGGAAUCGCAGACCGAAAAGGAGGGGUGUUCGAGGCGAGAAUUUCCAUGGGGAAUGCUUCUUGGCCGACGAGCACACAGCUCCCCGAAAGGUUGGCGCCGAUUGAUGCUUUCUGUCGGGCUUCUGCUUUACUGGCGGGCUUGUCGGGCAAAGCCUGUCGGGCAAGGCUGAAAGAGAAGGACAGAGUUAACUUUGAAAGGUGCCUUUAUGAGGCCUUAGGUGUAGGCCUUGAGACUCACGAUCAAGAUUAACUUUGAAUUGCUCAGGCGUGCCACUACCAUCUUCAGCAUGGCAGAUGUAGAACGGAUGUUUGAGUUAUUCAAUUAUAUAUAUAUUCGAGAGACUAUGUUAGUUAUUGAUAGGUGCCUUUGUGAGGCCUUAGGUGUAGGCCUUGAGGCUUCCCAUAAAUAACUAACUUAGUACUCAAACACAUAAGGUUACUUUUCUUGGUUAUAUAGGUCUUAUAACCAUCAUACUUCUGAUUACCUGAGCUCAAAGAGCAUAAUGAAUCCAAAUAGGUGCCUUUGUGGGGCCUUGAAUAGGCCUUGAGGCUUCCCAUCAGAACCCCUUCUGUACUCAAUGUUCUUGCCCGAGAAAUAGGAUGAAUCCAAAUAGGUGCCUUUGUGGGGCCUUGAAUAGGCCUUGAGGCUUACCAUCAGAAUUCAUCCCGUACUCGAACGUUCUUGCCCGAGAAAUAGGAUGAAUCCAAAUAGGUGCCUUUGUGGGGCCUUGAAUAGGCCUUGAGGCUUCCCAUCAGAAUUCAUCCCGUACUCGAAUGUUAUAUGAUCAUCAUAAUAUAACAAAAAUAAAACUAAGUGGCAGGUCGAUUACUUGCGCCCCAAGUAACUUCGGACUUCUUGUUUAUCAAAGCUUGUCGUGGAUGGGUUAUGUCCACAUCAGGUUCUUUUUUAUGCCUUAAGGCCAAGGACUUUUUAGGGUGAUCAAAUCUUAUAUGCCCGAGGGCUUAGAACUUAGAUCUGGCUGGAACUGUGAAGACAUAUUCAAAUCGGAUUCAAGCGCUGAGAGAGUCUUUUAAUAGCCAUAUUACUUGAAAUAACUUGGAUACAACUUGAAGUAUACAACAUAUUGCUAGGCUAAUGAAUGAAAAGACAAAAACAAAGAAGGUCAGGCAAGGUUUAACCUUGUCGGGCAAGGCUGAUCGUCUUGCAACUUCCUAUCUUUGUGGGUUAACAGAAGGUUUGAAAGCUUAGAAAAUGGGUUGGGAGGUGAGUUUGCAGAAAGAAAAUCGAUACUACAGCAGGCGUUGAACAGGGUAGCAGAGCUAUUACAAAGGGUUUGUCUCGAAAUGGAUGAAGGCUUGGGCUGACUACAGCUUCGUUUUGAAGGUAAAUCUGGCUUUGACUAGAGUUUGUGCUUUUGUUUGUUUGUUUGAGUGUCCUUGAUUCUGACUUCUCUUUCUCCUUUUAUAGCCACCUUAGCUUGGCCUCCUGUAGCAAUAAUCUUGCCCGAAUGCAGUUUGAAGGAUAGUGACUCAUCAGCUAUUUAUUGGUACUGCCAUCAUAAAGUACUUUUGGGCUGAUUAGCUGGCUGGUUUAUACCACUUGGCCCUUGGGUAGGUGAACAAGUGGUGCAAAUGAUCUGCACCUAGUCGGGAAAGGCCCUUUCUGCUUUCUAAGUCUGGGCUGAGCUUUAGGCUUUUCCUUCUCUUUUUGGGCCAACUCCCUUCUAAGCCCAAAGUUUAAGUUUCAACCCAAACAGUGCCCCCUUCAAUCAAUAUUCAGACUGGAAUUCUAGGCGCCAAUAUUGAUUGAAUAUCCGCAUGCUUGUAUACCCGCUCUUGGAACUUGUGUUUUUCUGGACAUGAGGCCUACAACCAUGCGUCUCUUGCUCUUCUCACGACCUUUGGGUUACCCUCUGAGGUUUCUAUAAAUUCAUGUUUGAUUUUGCCUUUUGCUCAGUCAACCAAAUUCCUUCAACCUUUGCUUCAAUUAACCCUGAGUAUUUUUGCCUUCUUAGUUUUCUUCCCAAGACUGAGACAUGAGCUCUUCAAGAUUCAAAUAGGGUUUCCUAAAACUCCCUUUUCAUGAGAAAAAGAGUUUUCAUCAAAUAACCACUAUCCCCAACACCCUUGGUCAGGCACCCCGCUAUCUCCAACACCCUUGGUCAGGCGGUGCUCCCAUGGAGACUUGCCUUCCCGCUCGUCGCCAUGAUAAGUCAGGCUUCACCAUCAUAUAUGGUGAUGACUCUGCCUGAGGAUCCUCUACCAGGCGCGUCUUGGCCGCACAACCUGAUCACCUGACCGGAUUCUACCCAUGAAGAUACCAGAAAACCAGCUGAGACGUCAUUGCACCUGGAAGGAGUAGUACGUAGUACAUCGGGAUUGAAUUGAAUUUGUUGUAAACUUCACCAGUUUGUCGAAAAUGAAAUAAACAAUAUCUUAACAAUCUUGUGUCUUUCUGUCUUCUUGAAUGACUGAUGAAUAUACACUAUACUUUAGCAUCCCGAAACCUGCUUUACUUUGCAUCCUCCUCGAUGUAACAAUCCCUAACAUCCCAUAAUGUAGGACAAUACCUUUUCAAGAAUUUAACAUUAAUGGGAUGUUUCUGCCAAUUCCCUUCGAGGUCCGCCAAGUAAUAUCCCCCUUUGUCUAAUACUUGACUAAUUAUGAAAGGACCUUCCCACGUCGGGCUCCACUUUCCAAAGCCCCUAAGCUGAGCUCCUAAGGGAAGAACUGUCUUCCACACCAAAUCUCUUUCCUUAUAAGAUUUUGCUUUCACCCUUUUGUUAUACGCUCGGGCAACAGCUCUCUUUCCUUCCUGAAUUUGGUUCAGAGCUUCAAUUCGGGCUACAUCUAAGUCUUCAAUCCCUUGACACAUGGCUUCGAUGUAUUCUUCGCUGUGUAACCCAAACUGAUUUUGAAUUCUGACAGAACUCACAUUGAUCUCCAUGGGAAGCACUGCAUCCUACCCGAAGGUUAGAGCAUACGGAGUUGUCCCUGUACCUGCCCUCUUGGAAGUUCUGUAUCCCCACAAAGUAUUCCCUAGCUUUUCAUGCCAUUUUUCCGGACUAUCUAUCACCAUUCUUUUGAUAAUGUUUACCAAAAUCUUGUUGCUGGAUUCUGCCUGGCCAUUUGACUGCGGGUAGUAAGGACUGGACCGGAUCAUCUUUAUUUUGUAUUUGCUUGCAAAUUCUUCAACUUCUUUUGAAAUAAAAGAUGGCCCUCAAUCCGUCACUAUGGUUUCGGGCACCCCAAAUCUAUGCAGAAUCUUGGUCUCAAUAAAAUUUUUGACCGUAACUGAGGUUAUGGUUUUUACCGCCGAGGCCUUCACCCAUUUGGUAAAGUAAUCCGUUGCUACAAUGAUAAAAGUGUGCCCCUUGCUAGAAGUCGGGUAAAUCUGCCCGAUGAAGUCCAUUGCCCAUCCUCUGAAGGGCCAGGGCUUGACUACUGGAUUUAAAGGCACAGAGGGUACAUGUUGGAGAGGACCGUGCCUUUGACAUUCCUCACACCCUUGGGCAUAGGACUUGCAAUCUUUUUCCAUGUCGGGCCAAAAAUAACCAUAUCGCCUAAAUAACCACCUCAUCUUCGGCCAUCACUCUCAUGGACUCCUCUUGGCCUAAGCAUUUCAAUAAUAACCCGUUUGGAGUCUUCCUUAGUAGGUCUUUCGCCCAUAAGACAUACUUAGUUGCUUGCUGUCUAUUCUUCUUGCUGGUGGGUGAAGAGGGAUCUUUCAAAUGAUGGAUGAUGGGCGAUCUCCAAUCUUCUAUCUCAGUUUCCUGAACCAUUACAUCCAGGCUGAAUCUGAUGCGUAAAAUAACUUAACACACAAAUUAAACCCUCUUUUUAUCAAUUGUAGUAAAGUAUGUAAGUAGGGAUCGUUCUAGGCCGGGGAUUAGGAGGGAUUGCUAAAUCACUUGGAAACUGACUUGAAAACGUAAAAACAAAGUUUAAAACACUAACUAGACUCAAAGAAUGCAAAACUAUACUUUAAAACACUAAAACAAACCAAAAGACUCAAAACAGCCCCUAAACACUCAAAACUACCUUAAAAACACAAUCUGGGCAAUUUUGGGACUCUCACACAAACUUGGACAAAUUUUGGUUUUCUAAUGAACUAAAACACUUAAAAACAUAAUCUAAGACAAGUUCUAAUUAAUAUGACUCAAAGAAAUAAGAUGGGGUUGAUUUUCGACGAAAAUAAUUAAAUUAAGACAAGAACAAAGUAAACAAAUUCUUAGACAAAUUUAAGUGAAUCAAAACACUCUAGCACACAACCAAAACAGAAAUUAAACACUUUGAAACAAUAAAGUAAAAGGGGGAUUUUGGUUUUAAUGAAUUUGAAAACAAAACAAACUUUGUAAAACAAAACAGAUUGUAAGUGAAUUUGAAUGAAACUUAUGGAUGGAAGAUUAGCUAGGAGGUUCUUCUCCACAUAUGUCACACUUGCAUACAAAACGAUUUCCAGUUGCUUUUCGAUAAGCUAUGAAUACUCAACACCCCAAAUUAACCGUGAAUUGCACUAAUUAACCCUCAGUUUUUCCACAAGUUAUUGGAUUGGAUGAUUGCAUACGACAACCCAAAACAUUCCCUACAAGUUCCCUACAUGAAUUGCAUAAUAGAGAUACAAGCAAGAAUCAUUAAGUUCUAUGAAAAACAUAAGCAUUGACGAGGCACUUGUUACUAUGAUUUGCAUGAAACUUAUGCCAAGAAUUUACUUAACGUGAUUGUGACUAGCAACCUUCACUACUUGUGAAUAUAAGUUCAUAACGAUUAGGUGAAAUUCCCUUAUAUUCUAGCAUUAAAUUCAUGCAUGAAAAUUAAGCGUGCACUCUCAACCAACAUACACAAAUCAUUUUUUAUACGAUCGGAUAAGUAAAUUGAAUUCACAACUUAUGAAUCACAACUGGAUGUAAUCAAAUCAUAUUGCAAGUAUGAACAUGGUUUCGAAUCACCCCCUAACUAAGAGGGGUUUAGUUCCUCAUACUCACAAAGCAAAGAUACAUAAAAUUAGACAUUAAAAUCAAAGGAAAGAAAACACCUAAAAUGCUCCAACUUGGGUAGCAAGUGCAUCCAAGAAUUCUCCUUUGCUUGCUUGCGGCAGAUUGCUUUUGUGGACGGAUUUUUGGGUAGUUUUAUGAUGUAGAAUGGAUGGGGAAUGGUAUGGAAAGGUUUAGGGUAAGUGUGGAGGAGUGUUUGAGGGUUGGAGGGUGGUGGAGAACUAGGCAAAGAGGGUGGAAGAAGGUGGAGUGGCUGUUAUGUUUUCUAGGCACUAGAAUGGUGUUUUUGGGGUGUUUUUGCUUCCUAGGGUGUGUAUGGACGAAUUUUUGUGAUAAAAUGAUGAAUAUGGGGGAUUGUCCUUUGGCCAAGGGGUGUAAACAUGUAUUUAUAGGCCCCAAAAACCUUAGAAAAUCAGGUUAGGUUAAGGAUGAAAUGCAUGGCAAUUUGUGUGUGUGGUGUGCAAUGGUCCAAGGGUGAAAAUGAAGUAAUGAUGCAAAGUGUGAAGGGUAAAAUGGAGUGGUGUUGUAGCUAGGGAGCAUGAAUGAUUGUGUACAUUGCAUAGAGAUGGAAAGGGAGGUGAAAUGUGUCAACAAAUGGGUCAAAGGUGCAACAACAUGUGUUGCACAUGGCAUUGGAUUCCAAAUGUGAAUGAUGGAGCAUCAAUUGGUGCAUGUAAUGGAUGUAAAUGUUGUCUAAAAUCUAAUGAGUGAAGGGAACAAGAGGUAUCAAGCAAUUGAGUGUAAUAAUUAAAUGAAUUGAAGCAUGAAAUCAGAAAUUAUGUAGGGGACAAGAGUGAUCAAGCAUGGCAUGGGAAUCCAAAGGGAAUUCUAUGUGGUUUGCAUGGCAAGGAAUGCAAGUUGGGGUGACAGAUUUUUGGGCUGUUUUCUUCAUCUUUUGGAUCAUAAUUCUUCAUAUUCUUGGCCUCUUUAGUUCUCAAAUUCGUCCAUCCACUUUGGCCCAUGCAUUUGCUAUCCAUUCCAAGCCCCAUUGUGCUCCAAAAUGCUCCAAAAUGCAUCUUCUUACCUACUUUGUCCAUAAAAUCUGAAAACACACGAAAAUGACUUUAAACAUUAAAAUAACUAAGGAAACACGACAUAAAUGCACAAGAACAAGCCAACUAAGUCGCAUAAAUAUGCUCCUAUCAGAAUCCCCUUUCCAGGAUAGAAGAAAGAUUUCUCCUUUGAAUCUCGACAUCCAACCCAUAUCUUCUUUCCUGUAUUGGCAUGCCUGAGGCCAAUUGCGCCAUCUCAUUAGCUGCUAGGUUGGCUCCCUUGGGAACAUGACUCAUCGAUAUAUCAGAAUCCCAAUAACUCAACAAUUGUGUGGCCGCGAAAUAGUAUCCGGCCAUGGUGAUAUGUCUGCCCUUGAACUCCCCAUUUAGCUGGUUUAUUACCAAUUCUAAAUCACCAAACACCUCAACUUCCAUUGCCCCCAGAUCCAUCAAGAUUUUCAAACCAAUUAUUAAGGCCUCAUACUCUGCCCGAUUGUUGGUAUUCCCUUGAUAAUCCAAGAGAAAUGAGUAAUAAUGAUAAAUCCCUUAAGGGUUGAUAAUCACAAUCCCAGCUCCUGAAGCCUUAUGAGUAUAAGAACCAUCGAAAUACAGCUUCCAAUGAGUAAUCCAUAAACCAGCCAUUCUUCUUAUCUCCUGCUGGAUCCACUCCUCUUUGCCCGAGAUCCCUUUGCCUGGCGGGAUCCAAACAUUAGUAACUUCCAUGGUUCCCGGUAUAUUGAUUAUCUCAUCUCGAGAUUCUUGAUGCUCCGCCAAGAAGUCAGCAAUUGCUUGGCCUUUUACUGCCCUUUGGGGGAUAUACUGGAAGCUGAAUUCUGAUAAUGCUAGAAUCCACUUCCCAAUCCUUCCUGUUAACAUUGGCUUUGACAACAUGUACUUUAUCACAUCUGUCUUGGCGAUGAUGUGCACAUGACAAGGUAACAUGUAAUGCCUUAGCUUAUUGGCAGUAAAAUACAAAGCUAAGCACAAUCUCUCUACUGGGGAAUACCUUGUUUCUACCUCGGUCAGAAUUCUACUGAGGUAGUACACUGCCUACUAUUUCCCGCCUUCAUUAUUCUGAGCCAGCAAACUCCCAAUUGAUUUAUCUGAAGCGGAGAUAUAUAGCUUUAAGGGUUUUCCCCUCUGAGGUGGUACCAAUACUGGCGGGGAAGUCAAAUAAGCUUUGAUACCAUCGAAAGCCUCUUGGUGCGGUGGUCCCCACUCGAAAUUCUCCUUAUCCUUCAGUCUUAACAAAAGAGUCAGCGGCUGGAUUUUGCCCGCUAGAUUGGCAAUGAAUCUUCUUAAGAAAUUAAUUUUGCCCAGUAGCCUCUGAAGUUGCACUUUGUUAGUGGGUGAAGGCGACUCCAUUAUUGCCCGAGCUUUAUUUUUGUCCACUUCUACCCCUCUUUGAUGAACCAGGAAUCCCAAGAAAUUGCCCGUUUUCACUCCAAACGCACACUUCUUUGGAUUCAUCUUCAAUUUGUGGAUCCUCAUUCUUGUUAAAACCUGCCUGAGGUCUACCAGAUGUUGUUCUUCCGUCUUGGAUUUCACCACGAUGUCAUCAAUAUACACCUCCAUAUUAUGGCUAAUCAGAUCAUGAAAGAUGGCAUUCAUCGCCCUUUGGUAGGUUACACCAACAUUCUUGAGCCCGAAGGGCAUGACCAGAUAUUCAUAUGCCCCUACAUGCCCAGGGCACCUAAAAGCUGUUUUAUGUAUAUCCUCCGGGGCCAUCUUUAUCUGAUUAUACCCGGCAUUUCCAUCCAUAAAAGAUAAGACUUUGUGUUUUGCUACUGCAUCUAUGGAUAGAUUUGCCAUGGGCAUGGGAUACUCAUCUUUAGGUGUAGCACCAUUAAUAUUCCUGUAGUCAACAGAACAUCGUACCGCUUUUGUUACGGCUUUUAAAACGGGUACAAUGUUGGCUAACCACUCCACAUAUUUGGCUGGCCUGAUAAAUCCGGCUUUUACGAGCCUCUCAAUCUCUUCUUUGACCUUCUCUUCUAUCUCCUUCGACAUCCUUCGUGGUGCUUGCUUAACCGGCUUAUAUCCUUCCUUAAUGGGCAUUCUGUGUUCCACCAAGGUUGCAUCUAAACCCGGCAUCUCAGUGUAAUGCCAAGCAAAACAAUCUCUAAAUUCUUGCAAGAGACAUAUAAUUUGUGCCCGAUCCUCACUCUCCAAUAAACCACUGAUUUGUAUUGGUCUUGGGUCCUCCUUUGUUCCUAGCUCAAUAACUUCCAAAGGAUCUUGGACCUCCGGUGGUGGCUUAUCAGGUUCUGCACACAAAAAUUCAACUAGCUCUAGGCUCUCGGGCAAGUCAUCUAGCUCAUCUAGGUCAUAUAUACACUCGGCCAUUUGAAUGGCCCUUUCCAAUUCUUCUUGACAAGAUUCCUCAUUGCUUUCAUCCUGGCUAGUUGAAGCUCCCACCUGCCAUUCCUGCUCUUCUCUGUCUAAGAGCUCAUUUUCUUGUCUUCUUCCUUUCCCAUACACCAACAGUCGUUUAAUCAGGGAUCUGACUGCCAUUACCUGAUCUUUCCUUUUUUGUUCUAUCAUUGAUGGUGUAGGGGUGAUGGGAUGAUAUAAGGUCUGUCCCACUCCUCUCUAGUAAGGAGCAUCCCUUGUUCUAGGAGCUUUUGGGCCGUCACCUUGGUAGGGCGGCCGUUCUCAUCUGCUCCCAAACACUUCAAGAUUCCUACGUUGGGAUUGUAGAAACUUGCUUCCGCUAUAUUGGCUGUAGGAAGAAAUGGUCGUGAUUCGGCCUCUACCAUCUCCCAAAAGCCUGGCCCUUCUGCGUUUGCCUCAUGAUACACAGCCACUUGUUAAUGUAGGGUGGAGGGUACAGCAAGACUUUGGUGGAUCCAAUCUCUUCCAAGUAAGGCUCCAUAGGUGGAGAUGCAGUCCACCACAAAGAACGCCAGCAUGAUCUGUUUAGACCCCAAAUCUACUUCCAAAGGCAAUAUCCCAAGAGUCUUGGUGAUAGUGCCCGAGAAACUAGAAACUGUGAGGUGUGUAGGAAUAAGAUCCUCUGUGCCUCUCCCCAACUUUUUCAUCUGCUUGGCUGGUAAUACAUUAACAGCUGCCCCUCCAUCAAUCAAAAUCCUUUUAAAGGGCACUCCCUCCAAAUGAGCUGUUACAUAUAUGGGCUUUAGAUGAUUGGCAAGUGAAAUGUUCAGGCGACUGAACACCAUUUUGUCUGUGUAGAUCCUUAAAAGACCCUCUUUGGAUGCUUCAGAUGAUGCAGCUUUUCUCGACUCUCAUUUUUCUGCUAUCUCUAUAUUAACAUGAGCCAUCAUUGGCUCAGUUGUUACAUAAUCUCCUUCCAUGGUGGCAGGCUGAUUAGGUUGGGCAACAAACAUAGCAGAUAGCACAUACGCCAUGUUUAUAUGAAAGUUGUUAGGCUCUGGCAAUUCGUCUUUUUUGCUCCCAAUCUGGUCCAUGAACUCAUCUAACCCCGCCAUAGCAUCUGGUGAAAGCAAUGGUUCUGGUGCCCCCUCUAGCUGAUUCACACCUGAACAUGUUAUUUGUUUUGGAACUUCCCCGAAGGGAUCCUCUAAUGAUAGAGAAGGUUGUUUUUUCUCAGGGGAGACAGUUCCAAAGCAAAUAGGCUGCUCUGCCUUCCAUCCGGGACUCGGCACCAUAACCAUAUCUUCUUGAGCUCUCCUCAAGAUUCUAUAUUUCCCAGGGUGUAGGCUUUGUGGCACAUGAUUUCCUUCGCCUUCAAUCUUGUUGUUAGCCUUUUCCACCUCCUUCUUACUUCUCCAAUGGAGCUGACUGCUCCCCCCAGAUGACGUUUUCUCUAACUUUUGAUUUUUGGAAGCUUCCGACGUCGCUAGGAUUUUCAAGGAAUUCAUGUAGGCUUUGUGUUGCCUCUGAACCCUUCUGACCAUGGAGGCACCCAUUUGCUUAACGGGCUGUCCAUUCUUCCUGACCACAUACCAUUUUAGCCCGAGGCGGGCAGGAUUAUCUUUUGUGACGGGGUUUGUUAUCCUGUCAUUCCUCCUGACCUCUCUUCCCAUAUGGCCGUACUGAGAGUGCCCUACACUUCUCUUUUUUGGCUUUUUGGCAUCUUUAUCCUCUGCCUCAUCUGAAACUUCAUGGUUACGAAAUAUUUCUGAUAAAGCCCUUGGUUGGGAAUCGCCUCCUAACCGCUGAAAGACACUUCGGGAGGUCUCCCUUCCUUCAGUCCGCCGAGCUUUCUCUUGUGCCUCUUUUCUCUUUUGUUCUUCAUUCCUCCUGAUCAGUUCAUGAUUUAUGAGGGCUCCUGCGGGCGGUAUUUCGAGUUCACACUCGCAUUGGCACUUACUGCACAGCACCCUUCCUUUGAAUAUGGUGGCUUUUGGAUAUUCAGGCAAGUUAACCCUCCUUUUAUGGGUUUGUCAACCAGUCUUCUUUCUUCUUCUCUUGUGACCUUCUUUUUUCCCUUCUCCGCCCAGGCCAUACUGAUCAUAUUUAUAGAGGCCUCUGAGAAGGGAUCCGUAUGUUUAUCCGUCACCGCAACUUCUUCUAGUUGAUUGGUUUUAAGCCCCCUCUUUUCCCUAUCAUCUUUCUCCCCAAGAUGAGGUAAAGACAUAGGAAUAGGUGGUCUUAGAACCGGGUCAUCUUUUUUUCUGGAGCCUGCAAAAACAUUCUCCAGUCUUUGUAGCAUGUGCAACAAAGCAGUUUAGAAAUCUUAUGAUCCUUUUGACAUAUUGCUUUGAUCAAAGAAUCCCACCGGGCAUGCCAAAACUAUGUUCGAGGCGGGAAUUUCCGUGGGGAAUGCUUCCUGGCCGAUGAGCACACAGCUCCCCGAGAGGUUGGUGCCGGUUGAUGCUUUCUGUCAGGCUUCUGCUUUACUGGCGGGCUUGUCGGGCAAAGCCUGUCGGGCAAGGCUUGUCGGGCAAAGCUGAAAGAGAAGGACAAAGUUAACUUUGAAAUGUGCCUUUGUGAGGCCUUAGGUGUAGGCCUUGAGGCUCACGAUCAAGAUUAACUUUGAAUUGCUCAGGUGUGCCACUACCAUCUUCAGCAUGGCAGAUGUAGAACAGAUGUUUGAGUUAUUCAAUUAUAUAUAUAUUCGAGAGACUAUGUUAGUUAAUGACAAGUGCCUUUGUGGGGCCUUAGGUGUAGGCCUUGAGGCUUCCCAUAAAUAACUAACUUAGUACUCAAACACAUAAGGUUCCUUUUGUUGGUUAUAUGGGUCUUAUAACCAUCAUACUUCUAAUUACCUAACCAAAUAAGUGCCUUUGUGAGGCCUUGAAUAUAGGCCUUGAGGCUUCCCAUCAGAACCCUUUAUGUACUCAAUGUUCUUACCCGAGAAAUAGGAUGAAUCCAAAUAGGUGCCUUUGUGGGGCCUUGAAUAGGCCUUAAGGCUUCCCAUCAGAAUUCAUCCCGUACUCGAACGUUCUUGCCCGAGAAAUAGGAUGAAUCCAAAUAGGUGCCUUUGUGAGGCCUUGAAUAAGCCUUGAGGCUUCCCAUCAGAACCCCUUCUAUACUCAAUGUUCUUGCCCGAGAAAUAGGAUGAAUCCAAAUAGGUGCCUUUGUGGGGCCUUGAAUAGGCCUUGAAGCUUCCCAUCAGAAUUCAUCUCGUACUCGAACGUUCUUGCCCGAGAAAUAGGAUGAAUCCAAAUAGGUGCCUUUGUGGGGCCUUGAAUAGGCCUUGAGGCUUCCCAUCAGAAUUCAUCCCGUACUCGAACGUUAUAUGGUCAUCAUAAUAUAACAAAAAUAAAACUAAGUGGCAGGUCGAUUACUUGCGCCCCAAGUAACUUCGGACUUCUUGUUUAUCAAAGCUUGUCGUGGAUGGGUUAAGUCCACAUCAAGUUCUUUUUUAUGCCUUGAGGCCAAGGACUUUUUAGGGUGAUCAAAUCUUAUAUGCCCGAGGGCUUAGAACUUAGAUCUGGCUGGAACUGUGAAGACAUAUGCAAAUCGGAUUCAAGCGCUGAGAGAGUCUUUUAAUAGCCAUAUUACUGGAAAUAACUUGGAUACAACUUGAAGUAUACAACAUAUUGCUAGGCUAUUGAAUGAAAAGACAAAAACAAAGAAGGUCGGGCAGGGUUUAACCUUGUCGGGCAAGGCUGAUUGUCUUGCAACUUCCUAUCUUUGUAGGUUAACAGAAGGUUUGAAAGCUUAGAAAAGGGGUUGGGAGGUGAGUUUGCAGAAAGAAAAUCGAUACUACAGCAGGCGUUGAACAGGGUAGCAGAGCUAUUACAAAGGGUUUGUCCCGAAAAGGAUGAAGGCUUGGGCUGACUACAGCUUCGUUUUGAAAGCAAAUCUGGCUUUGAGCAGAGUUUGUGCUUUUGUUUGUUUGUUUGAGUGUCCUUGAUUCUGACUUCUCUUUCUCCUUUUAUAGCCACCUUAGCUUGGCCUCCUGUAACAAUAAUCUUGCCCGAAUGCAGUUUGAAGGAUAGUGACUCAUCAGCUAUUUACUGGUACUGCCAUCAUAAAGUACUUUUGGGCUGAUUAGCUGGCUGGUCUAUACCACUUGGCCCUUGGGUAGGUGAGCAAGUGGUGCAAAUGAUCUGCACCUAGUCAGGAAAGGCCUUUUCUGCUUUCUAGGUCUGGGCUGAGCUUUGGGCUUUUCCUUCUCUUUUUGGGCCAACUCCCUUCUAAGCCCAAAGUUUAAGUUUCAACCCAAACAAGGGGAAUGCUCUGAGAACAGGGCAAAUAAUGACAACCCAACAAAACCAAAGCUUUACUUAAAUGAAGCAUAAUUCAGUUUAAAUUUCAUAUUUAUUUCUUUCAUUUUUUUGACCAAUCAAACAAACCAUCACCAGAGAAAGAUCCAAGACGAAAAACAAAAACUUAUAUACCUUGAUCGCAAAUAGCUUGCAAGGUUGCAGACAGAGGCGAAAAUUCGAACAACAACUUCUGUUGAAAUCAAAUAUGAAAGCAAAUCAGAAAGGCAAACCCAAAGCACAAAAAAGAAUAAAAAAACAUACAAUCAGAAAAGCAGAAAACCUUAGAUCGUAUCCAUAGCUUUUCCUGAAACCAAAAAUCAAAAAGAAAAAAGAAAAAUUUCGUGGAAAAAAAAAAAAAGAACGAAAAAGUUGUGAAAAGAAUGAAAAGGAGUUGAAAAGAUGUGAAAAAGAGUUCUUAAGUGUUGUUUGUUGAAGGAAGGGUCCAAAACAGUGAAUUCGGCCCUAAUUGUUGUUGAAUCUUCCCUUUGUGUUUAAAAGUUAAUUUCUGCAAUGCUAAUGUGAAUUCUGAAGUACGAUUUUCAUUGUUUUUGCUUACUAUUGCUUAAAGAACGUUUGUUUUCCUUAUCCUUUCGUUGUUAGCCAACUCCCCUAGCCCCGUUACAACCCUUGACUUUAAUCUUGAGUGUUAUGUGUUUCAAUUUGUGGAGUUUAAAAUUGGUAUGAGCAUAUGGUGUCACUGGUUCUCGCAUCUAAGUAGUAGCAUUCCAUUCAUGAGAUCAUAUCUAAACAUGCUUAUUAACUCCGGAAAUUGCUUUCUUUGUUAUACAUAUAUGUGAGCAUUCGUUUUCAUAUUUACAUCAAUCUUCUCACAUAUAACUAGUAUAGGGUGUGUAGUCAGAAAAUCUGAGUGAAAAUUGAGUGCAUAUCUAGUAAGGAAUUGAGCAAAUUCUCUAAGGCAUGUUACUACAUUCAAAAUCAUGUUUUAAUUGGUUAAAUGUGAACUAGUAAGUGGUGACUAUGAUUAAGUAUGUGCUUAAGUGUGAAGAUGACUAAAAUCUGUGGGAGUGAUGAUUUUUAACAUGUCAUGCGCAUUGGAAAUCCCUGAGGCAAAUGUUGGAAGGUUUAGAUUGUGUUUUUGUUUUGUUUUGUUUUGUUUCUUUGUUUUGCUCGAGGACUAGCAAAAGCUAAGUGUGGGGGAAUUUGAUAGGAGCAUAUUUAUGCGACUUAGUUGGCUUGUUCUUAAGCAUUUAUGUUGUUUUUCUUUAGUUAUUUUAGUGUUUAAAGUCAUUUUCAUGCAAUUUCAGGUUUAGAGACGAAGUAUGCAAAGAAGUGCAAAAUGGAGCAUUUUAGAGCAAAAUUGAGCUGGAAUGGAGUGUAUGCUAAUGGAGCACAAGGAAUGGACGAGUUUGAAGGUCAAAGGAGCUUAAGAAAUGAAGAAAUGAAAGUGAAGAACAAAGAAUUCAGAUUUGGAAACCAAAGUUUCUAAAGUUAGGAAGUUUCUAUUCUUGGAGGUUUCCAUUUUCGAGAGUUUCUAUUCUUGGGUUUGGGCUGUUAGAUGACCUAAACCCUAAUUCCUUGUGAACCCUAACCCUAGCCGCACCUUAGGCCUUAUUCCCACUAAAAAUCUGAUUGUUUUAACCUAAUUUCUGGUGGAUUUGGGCUUCUAGAAACCCUAAUCUGAUUACCCUAGGGUUUUGGAUGCCUAUAUAUAGUCAUUAUAACCCCUAAAUCAGAUAUCAUCUCCCAUACACAAUCAUUCACGCCAGAAAUCUGCCCUUGAUUUCUGCCGCACCUUUCCAUCACCAAAGUCCCAAAAUUCUGCCCAAAAUCAUCCCUAGCCGUACCCCCAUCAACCCUAAACCUUUCCAUACCAUUCCCCAUCCAUUCUACACCACAAAUAACCCCAAAAACCUGUUCUAAAGUUCUCUGCCGCAGCAAGGAGGAAGGAGAAUUCGUUGAUGAGCUUGCUGCCAAGUUGGAGCGUUCUAGGUGUUUUCUUUCUUUGGAUUUUAAUUUCUAAAUUUAUGUAUCUUUGCUUUGCGAGUAUGAGGAACUAAACCCCCUUGGCUAGGGGGGGAUUCGAAAUACAUGUUUAUGCUUACGAUAUGAAUUGAUUACUUUUAAUUGCGUUUCAUAAGUUGUGAAUUCAAUUUACUUAUCUAUGUGAAUUACAUUGAUUUGUGUGUGUUGGUUGAGAGUGCACGCUUAAUUAUCAUGCAUAAAUUGAAUGCUAGGAUAUAAGGAAAUUUCACCUAAUCGUUAUGGACUUAUAUUCACAAGUAGUAAAGGUUGAUGAUCUCAAUCGCGUUAAGUAAAUUCUUGGCAUAAGUUUCAUGCAAUCAUAGUAACAAGUGCUUCGUCAAUGCUUAUGGUUUUCAUAGAACUUAAUGAUUCUUGCUUGUAUCUCUAUUAUGCAAUCAUGUAGGGGACUUGUGGGGAAUGUUUUGGGUUUUGGGUUGUCGUAUGCAAUCAUCCAAUUCAAUAACGUUAGGAAAAUCUGAAGGUUAAUUUAAGCGGACCUAAUUAACUUGGGGCGUUGAGAAUUCAUGGUUUAUUGAAAAGCAAUUGGAAAUCGUUUUAUAUGCAAAUGUAACAUGUGUGGAGAUGAACCCCUUAGCUAGCCUUCCAUUCACCCAUUUAAAUCAAAUUCGUUUUUACAAUCUGUUCGUUUUACAAAGUGUCGUUUUGUUUUCAAUUUCGUCCAAAAUCAAUCCCCCUUUUCUUUGUUGAGUCAUAUUAGUUAGAAGUCAAGUUAGUUUGUGUUUUUAAGUGUUUUGAGUCAAGUUAAAACCUAAUUUCGUCCAAGUUUGUGUCUAGUGUUCAAAACUGCCCAGAAUAUUGUCAAUAAAGACAAUGACAAACCUAUCCAAAUAUGGUUGGAAUACUCGAUUCAUUAAAUCCAUGAAAGCUGCUGGUGCAUUAGUUAACCCGAAUGUCAUCACAAGAAACUCAUAAUGACCAUAUUGAGUCCUGAAAGCUGUUUUAGGGACAUCUUCACUUCUAAUCUUCAACUGGUAGUAACCAGACCUCAAGUCAAUCUUAGAAAACACACAGGCACCUCAGAGUUGAUCAAACAAAUCAUCUAUACGAGGCAAUGGAUAACGGUUCUUAAUUGUUACCCGAUUCAAUUGCCUGUAGGCAAUGCAUAGCCUCAAGGUUCCAUCUUUCUUCCUCACAAAUAAAACUGGAGCUCCCCAAGGUGAAGUACUAGGUUGAAUAAAUCCCUUAUCAACCAAUUCCUGCAACUGAACUUUCAAUUCCUUCAACUCAGCAGGAGCCAUUCUAUAAGGAGUCAAAGAUGUAUGAUCCGUACCUGGAAGCAGAUCAAUAACGAACUCCACAUCUCUGUCUGGCGGCAAUCCAGGUAAAUCAUUAGGGAACACAUUCGGAAAAUGCCUGACCACACGCACAUCCUUCACACUACUAGGAGCAUUAUCAUUCAACACCAUAUGAGCUAAAUAUCCCUGACAACCUUUCGACAACAAUGCUAGAAAUAACACCAUGCCUCACCCCGCUAGGCUCUCCUACAAAUGUAACUUCAGGUAAUUCAGGACGAUGAAAGGUGACUGCCUUUCCAUAGCAAUCUAUCUUGGCACGAUUAUAAUGUAACCAAUCAGUGCCCAAAAUCACAUCAAAAUCAACAAUGUGUAACGAAAUAAGGUUAGAUGGCAUAACAACAUCCUCCACCAUCAUUGGACAUCCUGGAUAUACUCGAUCAACAUAACACCUCUCUCUUCUAGGCAUAGAAAACUCUAAAUCGUAUCCUAGAGGUGUAGGAUGAGGUUGCGUCAUUUGAGCAAAUGAACGAGAAACAACAGAAUGCGUAGCACCACAAUCAAUCAAUACUCUAGCAAAAUGAUCAAGAAUAUUUAUCGUACCCUUGAUUAAAUCAGGAUUGUUCUGAGCAUCUUGCAGUGUCAUGUUAUGGAUACGUCCCUGAUUCUGCUGUCGUCCACCACGACCUCUGCUAGCAUGAAUACCUCAUCCUUGCCUUGGCUGACUAGAUUGCCUUGAAGAUCAUGCACUACUAGCAGCAAUCUCUACUUGUUGGGGCUGUCCCCCUGGUACCACUAGGAUCCACCUGCUGAAUGAGGAUGAUAUGGCAUAGAACCUCCCUAAUACUGAGGGUAACCACCCUGAUAAUGAGGGUCCUGUGAGUACUGGUACUGCCCUGAAGUAUAAGGAGCAGCGUCGCCCUGAUAAUGAUAAGCACUUCCACGACCAGUCUGAGCCUAACCACUAGGUCCUGAAGCUUGCUGGGUCGGUGCAGGUGGUGGUAAGGAAGGCUGUUGGGGCCUCUAUAGAUUCUGAGGACAAUUAGCAGCCUUAUGCCCCCAUCUGUCCACAAGUAUAGCAUGCAUUGCUGCCUUUCCUACACUCCCCAAAAUGCCUAUUAUUAUACAUGCGACAUAAAGGAGCACCUGAACCACCAAAGUCCCUCUGCCUCUGAAAUCUUGGGCCCCUAGAAAAUCUACCACCUCUCCUCUGCACAUUAGAGCUCAAACCUCCAGUAGAAGAGCUGGAACUAACACCACUUCUCUUAAAACUCUAGGUCUUACGAGGUUCCUGAGAUGAUUGACAUUUACCUUUAUCAUCUCGCCUCUGGUUCCCGUUAUUUUCUUCUUCAUCUUCACUUUCAUUGGGCAUGUUCUCUAAGUCCUCAAUCCAUAGUAACAUCUCAUAAAACUCUUGGUAGGUGGCACAGGGAGUUGAUGUCAUUAUAGAACGUCAUUUCUUCUUAGUACCCAACCUGAAAUGACGGAGCAUCUCAACCGGAUUAGCAGCAAGCUCCGGAUCAUAUCGAGACAAAUCAAUGAACCUCCUGUAAUACUCAUUCGUUGACAUCUUUCCUUGUUUUAGAUGCGUAAACUCUUGUUUCUUGCGAUCAAUAUACUCAGGGGGAAUGAACAUUUUUCGAAACAACUGUUUAAACACUUCCCAAUCGGCUACUACCUCUGGUGGCACUGAUAUGACUCUUGUCUCCACUAGGAUGUAGGUUCCGGACCUAAAAACUAGGUAGUCGUCUCGACCCACCUAUCAGGAGGAAGAUUCCUCUGACUCUGCAUCACAAGGAAAGUAUUCUCGACAUGAUUAAGCCACUUCUCUGCUCCCUUAUGUCCUUUAUUUCCUAAUAAAUGAUUCAGCUUCAAAUUAUACACAGUCUCAAGAGGUGUCCUUUGAGGAGGACGAAGUGAAGACUAAAUGGCAUUAACUAUAGCUUCCCCUAACUGAGCAAUAUCAGGGAAACUAGGCUCAGCUGAGUGACGUGGCUCUCUACGGGGUGGCAUAGUUCUGACAGAAGACAUCACAAUGAUUAGAUCAUUCACAAGAUAUACAGGACUGCUAAACCUAGGUUCUGAUACCAAACUAACACACUCCGAUCAAGAUCGAGGCAUGCUGGCCGUCACGUGAGGGUGACAUACCAUGUGCAUAGUGUGGAAGCGAUACGGAUAAGAAAUAUACGAAUAAAUAAAAACCGAAAACUACUAAUGUGCAGUAAUAAGCAGAAAGUGCUAGGAGUGAGAUACAAGAGUAAAUACUCCUAAUCAGAGCAUAAAAAGUCUAGGUGCAGUCCAGUAGGACAAGUACUAGUUAUACAGUACCAGAAGAUAUCCUACAAUAUUUUAUUCUAUCAAAACCGCCGAGAUCCUCAAUGCCACCAACAGCAAGUCUACCUAAAACCUGGAGGGGCGCAAAACAGAAAAUGUGAGUGGGCAAAAACAAAGCUUUUCAAAAUCAUUUCAUUAUCAAAUGCUCUAACCCCUCGCUGUAAAACAUGUAUAAUUUUCCUAGAAUAUGAAUAUAUAUAUAUAUAUAUAUUCAAGUCAUGCUUCACAUCUCCAUAAGCAUAAGUAUGCCAUGCCAAAUAUAAAACAGAACAAGUAACUCAGGUGAAAAUAAAUUCAUGGAAAAUAAUAUAUUAGCCGAAACCCCUGCAGAAGUCUAUACGGCUGAAUUCAUAGCUCAUUAGUCAAUCUAGCCUGAGUCGCUGCAAUUGACUUAUACGGCGCUACACUGCACACGACUCGGAACCACUGGAAGGGUUUGUACGACAAGACUGGGUGUAAUAUAAUUAUGCUCAAUACAUGAUAGCUAUGUGAUAAAUCGCUAGUCACCUACGAGUCGGAACCACCUAUAAUGGUCUGUACGAUAAGACUGUGCACCUAAAUUGGAUCCAAUGUGAGCAUAGGGUGUAGGAGGUGACAUUAUAUACAGGCCUGUGCCAUAUCUCUAGCUAAUCACUAACAUCGGGGUGCAGGUUUAUGAGCUCUAUGCCUCUCAAUUAAUCACAACCGUUAUUCACAUUCACAAUUCAUAAACUCACCUAGGCCUACCUAAGCGUCCACAGCACCACAAUGAUAUAUAUAUAUAUGCAAACAUAUAUCAAGUAUAUAAGUAUAUACUGAAAACCAAAAGCCCAUUCAUUAGUACGUCGAGAGGUCGUAGCCCCCGAGUUGCCCUUGACUGCGCUCGUCCUCGGGAUAAGUCUCCCCUAUAUGCGAAACAACUAUAAAAACGUUCAUUUAAAGCACAUAACCAAUACUAGCUAAUAACUUCUCAUAUAUUGCUCAAAUGGGAUGUUUGAAUAUACCAACGUGAUCUACACAACCUCAUGAACAUCCCCAUAUUUUUAGAAAAAAAUUCCGACGUCCCAUGCGUCGCCACGAGUCGGCAAGGGCAUGGCAACACGCGCGGCCACGCGCAGGGACCUUAACGAAAUCCCCUAACCUCGUUAGGAAUAUUCUAUGGAAUAUUUCGUUAAAAAGUAAUAGAAACCGUUAAUUCUACCUGACGGCGUCAGAAUAUUCCGUCAACUUUAAUGGAAUAUUCUAUCUUCUUCUCCGGUUAGCCUCGCCGGUCGUCGUCGCCGUCGCCGUUCACCGAAAACUAGAAAAUUAUGAAAACCUUCAUAUCUCGUCCAAUUCUCAACCAAAUUCCACGAAACCUGAACCAAAUUGAAGCUUAGGACAAGUACGACAAAACCUUACCUUUCAAAAGUCCUAAAACCGACGGAACUCGCCUGAAAAUCCUUCGAUAUUCCGGCUAAACCUGCAACUCCCUAUUCCCGAGCUUCCCGACGUCCAAAUGACUUCAUUUUUCUUCUCUUAGCCUCGUGAAGACGAUCUAAAGCUCCCUAUAACUUCAAAACUCUUAGAAAACUACACAUUUACGUGUGCAUGAAUAGUAUUUGAAAUCGGAGGUUAUGGUUUCUCGAGGGUUUUCAAGGUUUCACGUCCAAAUAAUAGUAUCACAGGGUUCCUAGGCUCAUAAGGAACUUGAAAAUGGUCUCCACAACCACGAUCCGUGAAGGGAUAGGUUGGUUGAGUUUUGUUCGUACGUACGGUACGAAAAUGGAGAAGAAUCGAGAGGGAAGAGAGAGAAAGAGAGGGUCAUCAGGAGAGAGAGAGAGAGAAAGUGUGAAUGUGUGGUCCUAAUCCUCCUACAACCAACCAAACAAUUAGAACCUUAAGUCCUUUAGUUCUAAUUGGUUCCAAAAUAUUUGGGACUUAACGAAUUGGUCCAAAUCCAAAAUUUAAAUCACACCACACCAUAAAUGCUCAAGGGCAUAUUUGACAUUUCACGUCUAAAAAUGUAAUAUUUCGGGACGGGCUGUGCUGUGACAUCAUCUGAGUGAAAAUUAGGUCCUUAAACUAUUUUUUUUCAAAAAAAUGAGUCAUUGAAUUUUAAAAAUCUGUCAUUUACAUCCUUAAUAUUCGAUUCAAAGCUACUACAUUCAAUUUUAUGUCAAUUUAAACCACCUUUCUUCCAUAUGAUACACAUAAGAGGGUAGAUUAGUAAUUUUAAUAAAGAAAUAGUGUAUAUAGUUAACUUGGGAAUAUAAAUUAAACAUUAUAUUCGCAACUUAUAUGAAAUGUUAAAGACUUAAAGACAAGAAAUAACAAUUCUAAAAUGUGAAGUGACUUAAACUAGUGAAACUAUAAAAUAACUUUGAAUAUAAUAAUAAUAGAAAUGAAAUAAGCAAUUUUUAAUUAAUUUAAGGAUUUAUUUUAACAGACAAAUAAUUUAGGAACCUAAUUUUCAAUGACGUCAUAAUUCAGAGACUAAAUCCACAUUUCAUUCUUAUAAUUUUAUGUACAAGAAUUCUGAAAUGGUGGAUAAAAUAAAACCUGCCAAGUUGCCGGUCUUCCAGAUUCCCUGUCUCUGCUACUAUGUUGUCUGCACUUCACCCAACUGCCUUAAACAAAGAACACAACAUUAAAAAUUGGAAACAAUACGCGUAAUCAUCGGAGAUCCCGAAUUCCAGUCGUACAGCUUCAACAACAAUUGACUUCAUCAUCAGUUUUCCAUUCAGAUAAUUCCUCUUUUGUCAGAAAAUCACAGGUUUUUCUGGUUUACCCUGUUUGUUUAUUAAUAAAAAUUAAAAUCACAGAUACAGAGUGUAAUUUAUUUACCCAAAAGUUAAAGAAAAAAAUUUAAAUUGAACAAAAAGUACUAGGAGACAAAGGCAAGUCAAAGAAACGUACCCGAAAGAGAGCAGCCAUUGCCUGUAUUCUGAAUGUGAACAGACAAAAAAUAAAUUAAAUGGAAAGUGCUUUUUUUUUUUCCCUUAUCAUUUUAGCGUUAUUCUUCAGAGAGAGAGAGAGAGAGAGAGGAGAGAGUGAGUUCUGAACGUCACCACCGACUUUGUUAAUGUGUUUGUGAAGUGCCAAAAGUUGUGGAGGUUGGAAGCUUUUUUGGGGUUUUGGGUAGGUGAAAGUCUUAUCCUUGAAGCAAAAUAACAUAAGCUUUUGCGGGUUUUCUUGUUCUUUCUCUGAUUGGAUUUCUGGGAAAGUUUCAGAAUUUGUAUUGGAGAUCAUUUUUUUUUGGGCGUUUGGUUUGGUUGGUGAGAUGGGUUCCUAUGGACAACUUGCAAGGAGGGCUGUGGAGACUAAUAUGCCGAUCAUGGUUCAGGUAUUUAGGCCAAAACUCCAACUGGGGUUUCUUUAUUUCUUUGAACUUUUUCUCUUCGAAUUCCGCUCCUCGUAGUUUAGAUUAAUUUAGUGUAGACUGUCGCUCGAAUCUGUUUUGGAAUUUUGGGUGUUUUCAAUGUUUAUGGUGGGAGUUGCGUUUCUUUUUAUUGCAGAUACAGCAGCUGGUCCGAGGAGCCAAAAAUGCCGUGUCACUGGCUCAGGUUUGUUUCUCUGAUUCCAAGGACUUAAUAUCUCAUUUUUUGUUUUGCUAAAACCAUGGAGCCACUGAGAAAUGAGAAUGUUGUUUUUUAAUUUGGGUGUUCCACUGCCUAAAUACAUGUAAUGUUAACUUUUGGGCCGUCCUUCGAGUGUGAGUUGCGUGUCUGGUGCUUGUUUCGAUUGCAGGAUAUGAUGAAUGUGUUGUGAAACAAGCAUUUGAUAAUUCGUAUUAGAAUAAGCUUUUGACUCGAAAGCUAUGCACCUCAAGAAGCUGUUUUUGUGCCUUCAUGUGACAAGUGCAACUUUUGCAUCAUUCAAGUUGAAAACUAUUAAUAAAGAAAAAUGCUAGGGAGCGAGUUCGUCCCAAUCCCCAAAUAACAAAAUUUUGAAAUAAUGGCCAAUUGGAGCGAGUUUGUCCCAACUCUCAAACAUGAGUCUCUUUUCCCACUUGCUGAACUUAAAGGCAUUUUCAAGGAAACAACAUACUCUGUUUUGUUAUAUGUCAAAUUGUCAAGUUAUGUCCACCAAAUUUAUGGCCCUUUUAUCCCACAAUCUGGUACUUUUUUCCAACAGAGGGAUGUAUUAUGCAUUUUAUAAAUUUGUUCAUCAGAUACAAAUUUUCUCAUCACUGCUUUUGCAUUUAGUAGGACUGCUAUUUUAUGCUGUCUCUAUCCCUUGGUUACGUUUGGCAAGUAACCUUUAUUGUUCUUCGAUUGGAACACUUGUAGGGAGUGGUUUAUUGGCAACCACCCAAGCAGGCAUUGGACAAGGUGAGAGAACUUGUUUGGGAGCCUUCAAUUAGUCGUUACGGUGCUGAUGAAGGUAUACCUGAACUCAGGGAGGCAUUGGUACAAAAGGUAUCAUUAGAACUACUUCAGUGUUUCUCCUGAAUAUGAUCCAUUUUAAUCUCUUGAUAUGUUCAUAUACUUGAGUUCUCAGUUCAACGAUAUAUUCAAAUAAUGCAUGGCUAGUCACAUUCUGCUUUUUGCAUCAAUUCUAACAAUUACCCUUUGGGGACUAUGCCAGUCCCAUUUCAUCAGUGUUAUGGGUUGGCCAGGUUUCAAGCCAACUAAAUGCAGUUCCAUUGGUUGAACAAGCCUAACCUAGUAAGCUGACGCUUUCUAGGAUUGAGAAGAUCAGUUUAAGAACAAGUUACGGGUACCUUUAGGUUAAUGAUUUUUUCAGAAGUUAGUGUUGUUUAGAAAUUGUGAAAGAGGUUGUGGACAAAAAUAUGUGGAUUUAUAUCUUCUAUAGCGAGCUCAGAGUGUUGUGACUGUAAGCUCCAGAAUCAACCCCAAAGUAUUUUUUUUCUUUUCUAUGAAGGAGUCUACAUGAGUGGAUUUAUGCUUAUGAUUGGAGUAGGAAUUGCUCAUUUUAGAAGUUUCGCAUUCCAUUCUAUUGCUCAAGAAUCACUUUUAACUCAUUUUCUUUCAUGGAUGGAAGAUUCAACGUCACCCGUUCAUUUAGUCCUGUGCACUGAUUGUCUAUUAGGUUCUGCUCCCUUGGUACCCUUGAAUGCAUUUUUCUCGUUAUUUCUUUAUUUUAAAAGGGGGACAACUGGUGGCGAACCACGGUUAUCCACCCCUUCUGUGCCUGGAGGAGGCUAGUUGGGAAUUGCACCCUAUCCGUGCCCACGAUCAAGCAGAUUCACAGCUUACAAAGUAUUGAACCUGGGACCUCCCCUAUUUUCUUCUUUAGGGAGUUGCUUUUAGCACUUUUUCUUUAGGGAGCUGCUGUGCAUAAUGUUUUAGUUUAUAACGAAGUUGGAAUGUUGUCUUUGUCUGAAAUCACUGCUUUUGAAAUAUGAUUAUCCAACUAUAAAUUUAUAAUUGGCAAACAUAUUUCAUUUCUUUGUUUUGCAGUUGCAUCGUGAAAAUAAGUUGUACAAAUCUUCAGUGAUGGUUACUGCAGGCGCAAAUCAGGUGAUUAUUUAUGUUUUGUAUUUCCAUGGAAGGUCUAUAAAAACUACAAAAUAUCUAGACUACAAAAAGAGACAAAAUUUAAUUUUGGAGAGGCAAAUAGUUUGCUUUAUAGUUGUGUAACUUAGCAUCUGAAAUAAAAAGAAAAUUGACUUCCCGGUUAAGGCUUCGAGUGAUUAGCACUAUUGUGAUAAGCAUGAAAUCUUCCACUGGAAGUUGUAAUCUUCUAUGAAUUUCUUGUUAUCUCAAAUAUUGCAUCUGUAACAUCUGUUACAUACACAAAACCUAAACAAAUGAAACAUGAUGAUCUUCUGUGCACUUUAUUUUGAUCUUUAGUUGCUCUGUCAUAUAAAUAUGACAAUAAAUAGUGAGUUUUACAGAACUGAUUUCAAGCAAUCUAGGAUAAGUUUGCAACAAUUUCAAUGCAGGCAUUUGUGAACCUUGCUCUUACAUUGUGUGAUGCCGGAGACUCUGUGGUAAUGUUUGCACCAUACUACUUCAAUGCUUACAUGUCCUUUCAGAUGACAGGAGUCACUAAUAUACUCGUGGGUCCUGGUCACCCAAAGACACUCUACCCAGAUGCAGGUAACUUCAUGAACUUCUCGUUGCAGAGGGACAUAAGAAUGAUAUUUUUGUUUUAACUGACAUUUAAUGAUUUAUCACUGGUUAGAUCUUGAUAUAAAUUUAACCAUGUCAAAAGCCUUGUUAUCUUGAGUUGUAAUGUUUGUCGCUGGUCAAAUCAUGUCAAAAGUUUUGUUGAUAAACUUUAACUGCAACAUAUAUUUAGUUACCCUGUUUAAUUUCUCAUUUCAUGCUCGCUAAAGUAUAUAACAUAUCACAUUAAGUUUGCCAUAGUUGAUUGGUGCUUUCCUACAGUCCAAACUUAGACAUGUUCAGGUAGCCCGGAAUUCUGACAACUUGGGUCACUUGUCAUGCAUCUAUAUAUGUUUGUAGAAUUUAACAUAAACCAAUGUGAUUCACUGUACAGUAUUUCCAGUGAUUAUUCUUUCCUGUCGUCAUAUUUACUAUGUUGAUUUCAGACUGGUUGGAGAAAACGUUAUCCGAAACCAAACCAACCCCAAAACUUGUUACAGUUGUUAAUCCUGGCAACCCAAGUGGAACCUAUAUUCCGGAUUCUCUUCUUAAGGUCUCUCUCUAUCUCGUUCUCUUAAAAGAGUGUAGUCAUUGAUUGUGUGUGCACAAUAAAAACUUUCUAGCAGUGAUUGAGCCUUGUGAUAAAUUAAAUAUUGUAUAUGCUUUUCUUACUUUCUUUCCUCUCUUUGUGAGUAGAGGAUAUCUGAUAUAUGCAGAGAUGCUGGAUCCUGGCUAGUUGUGGAUAAUACAUAUGAGUAAGUCUAUUGAUUUUUUUGUUGUAUUAGAAAUGUUGCAAUAGUAUGUAUUUUGCUGCCUUGAUGACAUGGUUCUGUAUGAUUCUCGUCUGUAUUUUCAUUCGUAUGUUGGUGUUGACCUGAGUACUGUUAAGGGAGAAUUUUCUUUUCCUGUUUCAUUUUCAGCUGUGUCCGAGUUUUAACUUGCUUCCGAUUGAAGAAUAAUUGCCAAAUGUUUGCUUCUGAAGUAUAUGUCAGUCAUAACAUUUGAUCUCGCAGGUAUUUUAUGUAUGAUGAUUUGAAACACACAUGUGUGGAGGGAAAUCACAUAAUCAACAUUUUUUCCUUCUCGAAAGCUUAUGGGAUGAUGGGAUGGCGUGUUGGAUAUGUAAGAAAAUACUUUUUAUCUUCAAUGUUAAGUUAAUAGGUCUAGAUUGAGUGUGAAAGUUUUACGUCCUUCAGUAGUUGUAGAUUUUGCAUCUUGAUAGACACCAUAUCAAAUAGCCAUUACGACUACACAUGUCUGUCUAGAGAUUUUCUUGCAUGGUAAACACGAGUCAUAGAAAUUUUGAUCGAUCUCAAAGUUGUUUCUUCAAACUUGAUCAUAUGGUAAAAUCGUUAUUUGGAUUUAUGAGUUAGCAUUGCUGAUUCAACGUAAUUGAUGAAUUUAUGCAGAUAGCUUACCCAUCAGAAGUAGAGGGCUUUGGUACCCAACUCCUCAAAGUUCAGGAUAACAUUCCCAUCUGUGCUUCAAUAAUUUCGCAGCACCUUGCCCUCCACUCAUUGGAAAUGGGACCCGAAUGGGUCACUGAACGAGUGAAAGGUCUAGUCAAGAACAGAGAAAUUGUUCUAGAAGCUCUCUCUCCCCUCGGGGACAAUGCUGUUAAAGGUGGAGAAGGUGCUAUAUACUUGUGGGCAAAGCUUCCGGACAAAUAUGUAGAUGAUGAUAAAUUUGUUCACUGGCUUGCUCACAGGCAUGGGGUGGUGGUGAUCCCCGGAAGUGCUUGUGGAUGCCCGGGGAAUGUGAGAAUCUCCUUCGGUGGCUUGGUGGAGGAUGACUGCAAAGCUGCUGCAGAAAGGCUGAGGAGAGGGUUCGAAGAGUUGAUCAGAGAUGGAAUGGUCGAGUAACUUACGUUGUUACAUUCAAUUUGACUUUAAAAACGGAAGUCAAUUUUCCGGUUUUUACAAGUUUGCAACUGGUUUUUUGGAAUAAUGGAGGGCCUCUUCUCUGCCUGCAGAGGAAUUAGAGUAAUUUCAGUGAUGCAUAAUUCAAAGAGGCAAUGCCAAGCUCUAACAUGUGCCUGUAUUAUUGUACACAUUGAUCUUCAAAAUACAUGCACAUAUGUGAUUCAAAUGCUCGCAUGUGCUCGAUGUGUUAUUUUCCUUUUUGUUCCGACUUCCUGUGCUCCAUUUGCCUAAACUCUUCAUGCUGACCGUUUUAUGUCCGCCCUCAGGUUUUCUGCAAGGGGAAUGAUUUCUGCACUUCCCUUUUGACCUGCACUUUUCUCUUUAUUUCAUGCCAUCGGAUGAAGCAGAUCAAAAGAAAAUUGAAUGACGAGUGCAAGAGGGAAAAAGACGAGUGGAAUUCACUCCCCUUUCUGCAAUAUAUUGUCUAGUUAGUUUACUAAGCUUGAUCGCCUAAGCUUGAAAAGUUUAGCUUGGUAUGCAUUGUCGACCUAUUUACGAACCACCUAAAUUUGAAGGUGCAACAGUUGUUACCGAAGACAAUAUCGAGUUUCGUUUUGAUAAUGUGUAGUAACUAGGGGUAACUGGAAAGUUCCACUUUAGUAGUUGUCAUUUUGAUCGUCCAUUAAACAAAGACUUAUAGACGCUCCAGUUAGAAGAUGUGAUUACGAGAUAGAGGCUCAAGGCCAAAGGGGUAGAGGAAAACCUAAGAAGACUUGGAAAGAGACUCUAAGAAAAGACUUGGAUUACUUGGAUCUAAUGGAAGAGAUGACACAAAACCAAACGUAGUGAUAUUCUAUGAUUCAUAUAGCUGACCCCACUUAGUGGGACACGACUUUGUUGUUGUUGUAGUAGUUGUAGUUCAAGAUCUACUUUACCAUCAUGUAUGCAAUGUUCAAUAAAGCACUAGGCAUUAGUUGGGCAGCAGACAGAAGCCUAAUGCCUAGGGACCUAAGCAUGUUUACUCAUGUAUUUCUCUUACUCUAGAACUACUCCUAGGCUUUAGGAAUCUAUCCAGUAGAUCGUUUUUUAAAGUCAUGCACAAAGACAUCCUUCAUCCCAUGUUCCUUAACCAACCAGUUACCACCUGCAUCCUAUUUCAGCAGGCUAGCUUAAGGCAUAUUAAAGAUAUUACUUGUCUCCCAAGUAAAGGAUCCCUUUUUCAAGUCAAAUUAGGAUAUCUGAGGAAUUAGGCAACAUAAUCAUGAUCUUACGAGAAUUAGAUAUCUCCUCGAUGUCUCCUUAAUUGAUGGAGAUUACUUUCAUUAUAAGGAGUUCUCAAUAUCUCUAUAAAUACUCUAGCCUAAGAAUUUAUCAAGGGACAUUCUUUGAAUUCUUUAAUCACUAACAACUGAAGAUACAUCUCUCACAUAUUCUCUCUAGCCUAACAAAGGCUCAUCUUGCAUAUAUGCCGUUGUCUAGCGUACACAAAUAACUCAUUUCCUUAGUGCCCCUCCAUAGGCUAUUCAUCAAGGAUAAUUCAAGAUGUAUUGCUCAUCACACCAUUCAUUCUUAGAACUACACCCGUGGUUUGAUUCUCUUUCUCAAAGAUAUGUAGGCAGUCUUAUUUAGAUUCAACCACAGCCCACAAUCAACCCCAAUCUCUCAUCACAAAGAUUAUGGGCAAUUCUGACUGGAUUUCGCUUCCAUCCGUGGAUGUGUUGAAUUUGGUUCCAACAAUUGAUGCUUUUAUUGAGAGAUAACUCAUAUUCUCCUGCCCAACAACCUCUACCAUGAGCGACAACAAAAACAAGGACGACGGUCACACGUACUUCUUGAUCGAUUGAAGGAUCGUAAAACUCGUACACAGGCAGAAAUUCUUGAUGCUGCCAUUAACUAAACUCAGAAUACUAUGAAUAGGGGUUAGUACAAUCAAUCCCCUAUGAGAUAAGACUCUUACCCUUUCUACCUAAAAUUUGACUUGUUAACGGUGAUCGCAUGAUUAAAAUUAUCCUUACAUUAAAAGGGUUGUUUAAAGCAAUACAAUCGAUUUUUUAUACACCCAUAUGAUUGUUUGUUUAUGAGACUAACAGGAUUAUGCAAGUCAAAAGAGAAGGUAUGUUUCUCUUAAUUAUUAUCCUGCCGACAAGUAAAGCCUUCAAUUAUUGAAUUCAAGUCAGGAAGCAAGUCCUUCUGUGGACAUCUACAUGGGAAAUAUGAACAGCCGGAGGCCCGGAGCAACAUGCUCCCUUACGAAUCUCGAUGACUUUCAGGUUGAUUUCUGGCCAACUCCGGCCAUGUCACGGCUUCCAAUAGGUAUAUUUCGAAUCCUUGUUCCCUGGGCUUCAUUUUGGUAUAUUACAUUGUUAGGUUUAGUGGUGAGUUGGAGAUGAUUAGAGCUUGGAAGCUCCGGCUUUCUUCUUCGUGAAGUCCAGCAACCCAUGAUAUGGAAUCGGGUCGACCCAACCCAUAACUCAAAAUCGGCCUAACUCAGUUGUGGGGCUAACCCAAUAACUCGGCCUAAACUGUUGGGCCAUGUAACCAUCCUAAACCUGAUUUGGUAUCUAGCCCAAACCCACGACUCAAAAUCCAAUUCUAUGACCCGGCCCAAAACUUCUUGGCCCAUUAACCUAACCUGGAUCUAACCCAGGCCCAACCUUAUAACCAGCCCAAAACCCUUGGCCCAUUAACCCUAAUCGGAUCCAAGCCGUUGACUAUGACUAGUUGAUCCGACCCAUUGACUGUUGACCCGAUCCGUUGAAUUCUGUUGACUUCUGUUGACCGAUCAACGUUGACUUUUGUGUUGACUUUUGCGGAUUUCGGCUGGGACCCUUCCUAGAGUCCUCUCUUUAUUAAAUGUCCAUCAUUUUGAUAGAGUUUUAUUAAAUGUCCUCUCUUUAUGUUUAGGUGCAUUUGUGGGAAGUGGCACCAUCCUCGUUAGUUCGAGCGGCUUCUGGGCAAUGGAAUACUGUGAGUGGACCCAUUCCUUAAUUGCAUGUUUUUAUAAAUUAUUAGGGUUUCAUGCAUUGCAUAUUUUAUGAGUGAAAUAUGUUUUUCUACUAUGUUUUAUGGAUUUAUAUACUUAUGAUUUAUUUAAAUUGCUUUACGAAAUAAUUAUGAUUUAUCGAAAUUACAUUUUAUUAAAGGUUACGAAAUAAGGGAUUUUUGUAUAUGAAAUGCUUGGGUUUUAUGAAUAUGUAAUAUUAUUUAUUUAUGAAAUGAGGUUUUGAGCUUUUGAGCUCCGGUGUUUUAAAUAUGGGUUUUUGAAAUAUGUUUUGGUGCUUAUCUAGUGGGUUAUCAUACGGCACAAACACACAACACGGGUAUGAUGUCUAUGGCCAUAGGGCAUAGUGGAGCAGUAGUGAGAUAAUUAUACCCCAGCUUCAUUGGCGAAAUUAGUGUUGGACAACUUCACUAGCCACGGCUAGUGUUGGAGUGUAUGUUAUGCUAUUAUAUUCAACUUCACCUUCGGGUGAUGGACAGGUACUGCCUUCGGGUGACAAUGAUAUCCCUAGAGAGUAUAUUAUUGAUGAGAUUUAUGGAUUUGCCUUCGGACGAUGAUAACAUUGUUAUUGAGCAUGGUUUUACUCAUACUUGUUUUACGAAUGAUUUCAUGGGGUUUUUAGAAAAACCUAUUAUGUAGUAUUAUAUAUGUUUUCAAAACAGGAGGUUAGUAUGUUCAUAAAGAAAAUGGUUUUCUUAUUAUUAGUAGUAUUAUUAUAAAUUUUGGUCCACUCACAUUUUCUGUUUUUGCGCCCCCUCAGGAGUUAGAAUCGAGGCACACGAUCCCGGCGUCAGGGCACUUCCGCUCAGGCAUUUUCGAGCCUCAUCUUUGUAGGUUCCAUUCCUUGGUUUGUACCUUCCAUAAUAAUUCUUUCACAUCAUUCUUGAUUAGUUGUAUGCUCCGAACACGAUUCUGCAUUUGUGUAACUCUUUCUAAUUACAUGUUUUAGUUAUAUGCGUGUUUAAAAUGGCUUCAUCACCCUCAGGUAUCGACUAACACGUGCCUACCCUGAUAUUUGAGAUAUCGGGGUUGAGGUGUGUCAGUUUGGUAUCAGAGCAUGGUUUGUUCAUAGCAUACUUAGGAUCAUCUCCUACUCUAGUUGUAUGUCGGCCUUGAUAUCAUUUGGAUGUCACAACUUCCAUUUGUUGACGUCUUUCGGCACAAUAGUGCAAUCCUCAUUCUGCCUGAAUAGUCACAUCUUGUUGAAGAAUAAGAAAUUUGUGUUGGGAUUGUGCCUCAAGUUUAACGUAAUAGGUUAUGAAUGACUUUAAACAUCGGACUGAUACUCUGCGUCAUGCGUUCCUCUGGAAUGACGGGUAAAGGCAUACCUGUUAGGAGAUUGCUCAAAACAUCCAGAGUUCAUGUUGGAGGAAAUCAGGGAAGCACUAGAUGUAGGCGAAAUUAGUAGGUAUCUGUGGGGUAGACCAAAUUAGUUUCCUCGGGCUUGUUCUUUCCACUUAGGGAAUUUAGUGUGGACCCUCAGGAAAAUUCUCGGCGAUCGUCUUAUCGAUAAUAUCCUUGUCUACUCUAACCACGAGGUUAGUUUAUUAAACAUCCACAGCCAGCUUUAUACCGAAUUCCCCCAAAUUGUGAUCUUACUUAGAGUAUAUGCCUUUCUUGGGAGACGUGAACGUAGCAGAAUAAAUUCUUACCAAAUCCAAGGUUGCAACUGCAGGAAAUCAAAAAUCUUCACGUGUGUCGUGAAUUACAAAAUAUCAUUAAUCUUGUCGAUUUCUAUCGACGAUUGCCAACGAUUCUUUGAACAUAGUUUUAUUUCCAUUUCCUUUGGCUAGGAAAAAGUCAGUUUUGUUCGAGUUGUUGUCUCACCCUACCAUUGAUCUUACACUCUUCGAUGACACCAAUAAAUUUCGAAUCCUACGGUGAUGUCUUACCGAAUGUGUAGUUGUGUGUUGAUGCAGCAUGAUCAAGUAACGCUUAUGACUUUCGACGCUGGAACAGCAUAAAGUGAACCGUUCUAUCUACUACCUCCAAUCAACGGUUAUUACCCUUAAUGGGAAAACUUUGGUAACGAUUUGACGUUUGUCGACCAUUUCACUCAGUGUACUAUCCACCUGUCCGUGAGGAAUAUACCUCGAACUAUUUGGCCGAAUUCUUCAUUUGAAUCUUUCAGACCUCUGACAUUUUGGUCCGCAUCAACUCUGUUUGUAAUCUCAGUUCCACCUCUUGGUACUAUGAUAGGAUUAAAAGCACACCACAAAGUAGCACACAAAUGUUCUAUUGAUUUUCCUUAUUAACAUUAAGAUUUGUCAAUUGUAGCAUAUGAAAAUAAGGAUCUUUCCCGCAGAAGAUUGCUUUAUCUAACUACUUAAAAUGUCACAAAAACUAGGUUGUUGUCCCUACUGACCAGCCACCGAAAAAUAAUUAUUAGACCGACUUACACUUAUCUAAAGUCAAUGAAAUUUUAUAUGCAGACACUAGACACAUAGAGCUACACUCACACAAAUGUUUGGGAUUUUUGGAGUUGAUUUGCUAUUUAAAUUAAAUCGAAAAACAGGACAAAAACAUAUUUUAAGUAGUUCAUAAAUUAAGAAAAACGAGUUAGGGGAAAUGCUAUCCACCACCAAAUAAUCAUACAAACAUGUUAUGUUUCAUUCAAAUUCCUUUUAUUUUCAGAUGAAGAUGCUCAAGUUAGCUCAAUGUUAGAACUCAACCUAAUACUCUUUCUUAUGUAGUAUGUUAAGGGAAUGGCAUUUUCAACUUAAUUUAGUCCAUAGCAUGCAAUCCAGAAUGGUAUGUUCAUAGAUUUAACAAGUAGAAAUAAUUAAGAACGAAAAAAAGUUUGAGUCAUCACAAGGCAUCGUAAGUACUAGCGUUGUCUUACUUAUCCUAGAAAUUGGCUCACAUAUUAAUCGUAAUUAACAAAAACUACUCUAGAACAUAUGUAGGUCCUCAUUUGACAAGGGCAUACAUACACAUAUUCAUAGCAUUAGAAUCCUAGAUAUGCUUACUAAGUAUGCAUCCGUAGAAAACACAUAAAGAAUUCAUCACUGACAUAAGUAGUGAACCAAUUUUCAUCCAUUCAUAAAAGUAAUUCAAACGAAAUGUCAUAACAAACUUGCAAUCAUAUUCGGGGCUUCAAAAACAGCCCCUAACUACUAAAAUUUAGCUACACAUAAUUCUCAAAUUAAACCAAAAGAAAGACAUGAGUUUGAGAAGAUAAAACCGAAACAAGAGAAUGCCAAGAUUUCCUCCUUCCUCAUUUAUUGCUUCCCGUUAGCUCUCCUUUUGUUUCCCCUUUUUAUUUUUGUUCUAUUUUUUCUAUCCUCCCCAUCCCACCUUGCCGCUGGGCAUUCUUUACCUCUCCCAUAACUCACCAAACUUAAUAGCCACUUUAUUGUCACAAAGGAGAGGAAAUGGAAAUACAAUUUUAACUCCUUGCUAGCCUCUUAGUAUUUCACUUGCCAUAGCCUUUAUGUCAAUUAAUCCUCAUCUUUAUUUCCAAUUUAACUUUGCUAAAACUUCUCUUUCUCUUGAUUUGUGUGACCGGCUGACCAUGGAAAAUGGGAGAGAAUUAUGUAGCUUUUUCUUCCUGUUCAAUCACAUAAGCUUGUGAUUCUACAAAUUGUCAGCACAGGCAAAUUAAAUGAAAAUUUAAGCCACAUGUAACUUCUACAGUCAAGUAGUCUAUACUUCAACCAAAGGCUAUAAGCAUAAAGAUUUAAAUUAUAAGAAAUCACCUGAUUAAAUUAAAACCAAGGAAUUACAACAUGAUUUUUCUCCAACUCCUUAAUUUAAUUAUAUAAACACAAAACCAUGUAAUUCGUUUCAUUUAAAUCCAAAAUUUAACAAGAAAAUGUAGCUUUCAGGAUAAAAUAUAUAUGAAAAUAUGCACUCAUCAUACUAAAAGAUAUCUUAGUCAAUCUUGGGUUACCCUACUGCUUUCGUAUCAUUUUUGAAGCAGACAGACUGUCCAGGAGGACCACUCAAAUGUUGAAGUUUUUAGUUGAGAUCGUUAGUCCUUGAAUCACCCAAUCAACACCUUAUCAAGCAAAUCUUCACCACUGGUGAUUUAAUAUUCCUGGAGCCACUGUUGUAACAAAUUUUUGUGAAUUGUGGGUCGAAGAAAAAUCUAAAUUUCCGUUCGUUAGUCUUCAUUAGACUAUCGUUCAACCUCGUAAGCUUCUUAGUUAGAUUUUCACUCAAAGUGAGCUAAGUCUCUGGUGGCGGUGAUUGAUAGAGUAUAUCAAUGUCUACAAUUGCACCAUCGUAUACCACCCCGAUUGUGCAAUUGUAGUUACUGACGACCGCAGUAGGAACACACAUAGGUAUCUGAAUGCUCUUCAAUCUGUUAUAUUUCCAUAUUAUGCUAAACUCCCAAAUAUUGUUGUGACGUUAUUUCUCGAUCAUCAAGAUACUGAGUGUGACGACCUGUCUCGAAUAAUUAUAUAUUUUAUCCUUAAUUGUGGGAAAUGACUAUUUUACCCUCGUUGGCAUGGUGAUGUGGAUAUACGUAGAUAAUUUUAAAUUAUUUUUUGCCGAUGUAAUUAAAUCAUACUCGAUGUCACAAGAGUAUUGACGCGAUUUAGGGCCGAAUUGGGUUCGUAACAAAAAUGUUACGAAUAAAUGAUUGUAUAAUCGGGCCAAAGGAAGUGACCAAUCACCAUAUCUUCCAUAAUUUUGGACCCAAUUAAGAAUUUUAGGUUGUUAUUGGAUUAAAGGAAAGCCCUAAAUAUUGCGGCCCAAUUAGGGCUUAAGAUCCCUUUUAUCUAUGCCCAAUCCGGACCACACACACACACUCACACACACAUACAUACCCUCACCCUUUCUCUUGAUCAUUCCUUCAUCCGUACAGUCUGUACACUCAUACACCCAACCAUCUUCAUCUUGCACAGAUCGAACUAUUGGAGGUCACUUUCGAGUUCCCCACAAGUUCAGGAACCUAAUCAUACCCUUAGUUUAGAGAAAAGACCUUGGAAACCUAGGAACUCGUGAGCUUCGGCAAGGUGCUCUACUACUCCAUCGUGAUCGUGGACAUUUCACGGAGUUUCAAGGCUCAAGGGAGUCUUAAAACAACUUCACAAAGAUCAUAGAGAAGUUUUGGAAGGUUUCCGACUAUUUCUCGUCGGUUUUAGGACUUCAAAGUGGUAAGAACAUGUUCUACUCGUUUAGGGCUUCAAAUCCAUGUAAAGUUUGUGAAGUUUGGUUGAGAUUUGAGUAAGAUAUUUAAAUUUGAAAUUUUUCCAGUUUCUGGCGAUGCAUCGGCGAUCGGCGCAGGAAUUCGGCAAACCACCGAAGAAGGAAAGGGAAUAUUCUGUCAACUUUGAUGGAAAAUACUGACGGCGUCAGGUAAAGUUAACGAAAUAUUAUAUUAUUUAGUGGAAUAUUCCCUAACGACGUUAAAGAUUCCGUCCGUGUGCCAGGCAUGUGCCUGCACGUGGCCGUGCCUUGGCUAGCGCGUGAGGGCGUGUUGGUCAUCGAAAAAUUAUUCUAAAAAUAUGGGGAUGCUCGUGGUAUUGAGUAGGCCACAAUGGUAUAUUCAAACACCCUAAUUGAGUAACGUAUGAGAAGUUAUUAUAUGGUUUUGAUUAUGUGCUUAAAAGUAAUGUUAAAAUAGUUUUUUCACAUAUAGGUGAGAUGUUUCCGGAGGACCAGCGCAGUCAGGCGAGACUUAGGGGUUAUGACCCAGCUACAUACCAGUGAGUGGGCUUUUGGUUAUAUAUAUAUUACCAAAUCUUUUUGCCCAUAAAAUUAGAAAUGUUUUAGUCAAUGAAGAAGGUAUCAUAUCAUAUCAUACCCUUACUUAUGGAAAUAUUAUUAAUAUUAUCCAGAAGGAAGGAUUGAAAAUGUGUAUGGAUAUGAAAAUUUCAAAACAAGUAAAUAAAGAUAAAUCAAUAGCCAAAUAUGAAUUAGGAACGUUUUGUGAACAAUAUGGAUUACCUCUUAUUGCUUGAUGCGAGAAUUACUUGACACACAAAUUAAAUCCUCUUUUUGACAAUUGUAGUAUAGAUGUAAGUAGGGUAUCGUUCUAGGCCGGGGAUUAGGAGGGAUUGCUAAUCUAUCCUAAAUUAAUUUAAAAAUAUUAAACAAGACUCAAGGACACAAAACUAGGCUAAAAACUCUAAUAACUCGAAACACACUUAGAAUGACUCAAAAUAAUGAAAACAAUCAAAUUAGACACUAGGAACUGAAAUGGACGGAAAUUGAAUUAAAAGACUAACAACAAUGAACACUAACUAAAUAAUAUAAUUUAAUAAUGGGGGGGUUUUGGUUUUGACGAGAAGUAAAUUAAACUUAAAUAAAUUACAGAAUUGACAAAAGCAUAAAAUUAAGGUAAAAGGAUAGGUGACGGACUAGCUAGAGGGUUCUUCUCCACACAUGACACAUAUGCAACCUAAAUUGAUUUUCAGUUGUUCUUUCAAUAAGUUGUGAAUCUCAACACUUCAGAUUAACCGUGAACAGCACUUUUUUAAUCUUCAAGUUUUCCUUAAGUUAUUGAAUUGGACGGGAAAACGCAUACAACAAUUCAAAACAUUCUUCAAAAGUCCCCUACGUGAAAAGCACAAUAGAGAUACAAUCAAAGAUCAUUAAACUUUGUGAAAACUAUAAGCAUUGACGAGGCAUUCGUAACUAUGAAAAGCAUGAUACUCUUGCCAAGAAUUCACGUAACACGAUUGUGGAUAACAACCUUCACUACUUGUGAAUAUAAGUUCAUAACGAUUAGGUGAAAUUCACUUAUAUUCUAGCAUCAAAUUCAUGCAUGUAAAUUAAGUAUGCAUCCUUAAUCGACAUACAAAAAUAAGUUAUCAAUCAAGCAGUUAAACAAAUUAAAUCACAACUCAGAAAUCACAACUGAAGGUAAUCAAUUCAAAUUACAAAUAUAUUCAUGGCUUUGAAUUAACCUCUAGCCAAAAUAAGUUUAUUUACACAUUAUUAAAAUAGAAAUAAAAUAGAAGUUUGGAAAGAUUAAACCGAGAGAAUCUGCUGCGUUCGUGCCCACACUGCCAGUCUUUCUCCACUCUUCCUGCCUGACCCUCUUCCUGUGUCUCCCCGCCAGUCUUCUUCCCUCUAUUCUCUUUUAUUCUCUUCCGCUGCCCACUUUGACUAACCUCUGGCUGCGCCAGUCUCUCGCUGCCAAAGGCAGCACCUAUUCUCUCCCUCUCGUUACUGACUUGCUGACCAGUCCUUGCUCAAGCUGCCAAAUGGCAGCCCCUGACCUUCUCCCAGUACUGCAAAGCAGCUAUCUCCCUUGUGUCUCUGCGAGCUGCUCCCAAGGCAGCUCCUCCCCCCCCCGUUCACACCUGCUUUCCCCUCCUCACGUUUUCUCCCUGGAUUCCUUUUUGUCUUCAUAUUUUAUUCCCUGCUUAAUUAUGCCGUGUCCCUCUUUUCCUCCAGCUGCCAAAGGCAGCCUCCUCCAGCUCACCUAAUUUCCUUUCCGCCUUUUAAUUUUUAUUCCAUCCCCGAGGCUCAUGCUUCACUUCUUCUUUCCCCCCGCAUGUCCCCCGUUUUCUGCCUUUUUCGUUUCUUUUCCGUAGCUGUCUCCACUUGUUUUCUCCUUUUCGUUAUUAUAGGCCACAUACUCACCAGAUUCAAUAUAAGGGAUUUUUUUCUACACAAAAGCCACAAACAAUACCAUGAUUUUCAUCUACUUCAAAUACAUGCACACAUUUACACACCUACUCAAAUAUAAAUGUGAAACAAUAGACCAACAGAAAUGCAACCAUAGUAACUAAAGUCAUUAUUAUAUCAAUUCAAAUAUAAUUAGCAGAUUCAAGUAACAAAUCCAAAACCAAUAUUCUAUGAAACAAUCAAUUCAAUGCAUAUAAAAUAAACCAAAAUAAACCAAAAUAAAACCCAAUCCAAAAAUAAAACCAAUAUUCUUUCUGUUUAUUAUUUAAAACUCAUUUGUGCUAUUUUUAUUUUCUUUGCAUAACAAAUCCUAUAAACAUAAAAAUAACGUAAAUAGCUCAAAAAUAUAAGGAACUAACUAAGAAAAGACGAGUGAAUUCGAAGUAAAAAUAUAUAUAAAUAUGAUCCGAUCAUUGCUCCAUCCAACAAAAUGAAAAAAAAUCAGAAGUCUAUAAUAGAUACCCUAAUAAAUACUCCAAUAGGACACAUCCCAAAUAUAACAAAUACAAAAAUAAAAAUUUUGAAACAAAUAAAUUUUAUGAAUGGAAUAUAGAUGGUUUAUCAGAACAAGAACUUUUGAAUAAAUCACAACACAUCUCUAUGGUUGCUAAUAGUUAUAUUACCAAUCAUAAUCUUAGUCAAACACAAGUUGUCAACCUUUUGGUCACUGGAUUCACAUGAAUGCUUCAUUCCUGGUGGGAGAAACAUCUCACUGAACAGUCAAGAAAUGAAAUAAAAAAUGCAGUUAAAAAGGACGAAGAAGGAAUAUCUAUUUUUGAUGAGCAUAUAGGACAAGGAGUCCCAGAUGCAGUCAACAUAUUAUUCUUUACCAUUAUUGAACAUUUCAUAGGAACACCCAGUAAUGUUACUUCCAGAAUUCAUGACCAACUUAGCAAUUUACGAUGUCUAACCUUAAGUGAUUUUAGGUGGUGCAAAGAUGUUUUUAUGUCCAGGGUCAUGCUUAGAGAAGAUAGUAACCAACCGUUUUGGAAAGAAAAAUUCAUUAAUGGAUUACCAAAUCUUUUUGGCCAUAAAAUUAGAAAUGUUUUAGUCAAUGAAGAAGGUAUCAUACCAUAUCAUACCCUUACUUAUGAAAAUAUUAUUAAUAUUAUCCAGAAGGAAGGAUUGAAAAUGUGUAUAGAUAAGAAAAUUUCAAAACAAGUAAAUAGAGAUAAAUCAAUAGCCAAAUAUGAAUUAGGAACAUUUUGUGAACAAUAUGGAUUACCUCAUAUUGCUCCCUCCAACAAAAAGAAAAAAAAUCAGAAGUCUAUAAUAGAUACCAUAAUAAAUACUCCAGUAGGACAUAUCCCAAAUAUAACAAAUACAAAAAUAAAAAUUUUGAAACAAAUAAAUUUUAUGAAAAACCCAAGUCCAGAAAAUGGAGGAAAAAUCCCUUGGGAAAAUUCCAUUCCAAAAUCCAUGAGCAAAAAGGAAAAUGCUAUAAGUGUGGCAAAUUUGGUCAUUAUGCGAAUAAAUGUCGUGUCAAGAAAACAAUCAACCAAUUAAAGAUCUCCAAGGAAGAGAAAAUUCAAUUAAUCCAAGUCCUAGAAUUAAAGGAUACAGACCAAAUCCGAAGAUGAUUUAAGUUUUAAUUCAUCUUCUUCCCACAAUUCCUCAAGUAGUCUUUCAUCCCUAAACAUUAAGAUAGGAUGUACUGAUACUUGUUGUAACAAGAUUUUAGUCCUCAAUAAGGAUUAAUUCCUGCUAAGUAUUUUCAUAAAUCAACAGAAAUACUUAGUGCUGCAAAUCAGUCACCAAUGCAAUUAAAAUAUGAAAUCCCAAAAGCCCAUGUUUGUAAAAACAAUGUUUGUUUUAAAACUCCAUUUGUUUUAAUAAAAAAUAUUUCAGAUCCAGUCAUAUUAGGUCUUCCUUUCAUAGCCCUCCUAUACCCUUUUAAGGUACAUCAUAAUCGUAUAACUACCAGAAUGUUAGGAUAAAAAGUCAUAUUUGAAUUCUGCACGGAAACAGAUCUAAAAAAAUUAAGACAAUUACAAAAAGAUAGCAUCUCAAAACCAUCAAUUUAGUUAACAAAAAAUCACAACAAAUUAAUUUCUUAAAAGAAGAAAUUAAUUACAAAAGAAUUGAAGAACAAUUAAUAAAUAAAUCUUUGUUACAAUGCAUUGACAAUUUUCAGAAGAAACUUAUUAAUGAAAUUUGUUCAGACAUUCCCAACACCUUUUGGCACAGAAAACAACAUAUUGUUAAACUUCCUUAUAAUAAGGAUUUUGAUGAAAAGAAAAUACCUACCAAGGCCAGACCAAUCCAAAUGAGUCAAGAAGUUAUGAAAUUCUGCAAAAAGAAAUCCAAGAACUUCUUAAUAAAGGAAUAAUUAGGAAAAGUAAAUCACCAUGGUCAUGCCAUGCUUUCUAUGUUCAGAAAAAUGUUGAAUUAGAAAGAGGAACUCCUUGAUUAGUAAUUAACUAUAAACCUCUUAAUGACGUCUUGGAAUGGAUACGAUAUCCAAUCCCCAACAAAAGAGAUUUAAUUAAGAGACUUAGUCAAGAAGUAAUUUUUUCAAAAUUUGAUAUGAAGUCUGGAUUUUGGCAAAUCCAAGUUCAUGAGGAUGAUAAAUAUAAAACAACAUUUGUUACUCCUUUUGGUCAUUAUGAAUGGAAUGUAAUGUCUUUCGGCCUUAAGAAUGCACCCAAUGAAUUUCAGAAUAUCAUCAAUGAAAUAUUUAACCAAUACAGUCAUUUCUCAAUUGUUUACAUUGAUAAUGUUCUCAUUUAUUCUAAAACGAUAGAUUCAUUGGAAACACUUAAACAUGUUUGCUAGGAUAAUUAAGUCAAAUGGAUUAGUUGUCUCAGCAACCAAAAUUAAGUUAUUCCAAACCAAAAUCAGGUUUUUAGGAUACAAUAUCCACCAGUCAACCAUUCAACCAAUAGAUAGAGUUAUUCAAUUUGUAGAUAAGUUUCCAGAUGAAAUCACUGACAAAACCCAAUUGCAAAGAUUUCUAGGAUCCUUAAACUAUGUUGCAGAAUUUUAUCCCCAUCUCAAACAACAAUGCAAACCUUUAUUUGAUCGUCUCAAAGAAAAUCCUACAUCUUGGUCCAAUAUUCAUACUUCCAUUGUUAAACAAAUUAAAUCCAUGUUAAGACUUUGCCUUGUCUUGGCAUUCCAACCCCCAAUUCUUUCAAAAUUGUUGAAACAAAUGCCUUUGAAGUUGGUUACGGAGGUAUUCUCAAACGGUCAAUUUCUUUCGGAUCUCCUGAACAAAUUGUUCGUUUCCAUUUAGGAGUAUGGAAUCCAGCCCAAAGUAAUUAUACUACUAUUAAAAAAAAUAUUAUCUAUAGUAUUAUGCAUUAGCAAAUUUCAAGAUGAUUUAUUAAAUUAAAAGUUUUUUGUCAGAGUUGAUUGCAAAUCUGCAAAACAUAUUUUACAAAAAGACGUUCAAACAUUGCAUCGAAACAGAUUUUUGCACGAAGGCAAGCCAUAUUAAUUAUUUUUAUUUUGACAUUGAAUAUAUUAAAGGUAGCCAAAAUUGCAUCCAUGAUUUCCUAAUCAGAGAAUUUUUGCAGGGGAAGAAUGACGAACAAAAGAAAUCUCAAAAUAUAAAACUCUCAAAUAUUACCAAGCCAUUCUCAGUGAGACUGAAUCCAUUUCAAUUAAACCACUUUACAACAAAACCCAUGAAAACAAAUUCUUUUACCAUUCUCUUUACAUUGGAAAGUUUUUAACUGGACUCCCCCUUUAUCAAACCAAACCUCUUCAUACAUAGCAUGUUCUCAUCCCCAAUAACCAUUAUAAUUAUUUUGAAUAUAUCCAAGCAUGGACUAACAUCUUCCUCCAUCAGAUAGAAGACUUUAGUCAUUCAUGGUUCAUUAAUUUUGACAAAAGUUCAGAUUGAAUUUCGCUACAUGGUUCUCAAAAUGGUGGUCAGCUCACGGCUCAACAGCCAGCCUUCUACCAGAUGGACUUAU